CCGCGUCUCCCAGGGCUUCCCUUUCCCCAAUAAGAAUGCAUGAUGCUUAUUUCCUGUUUUCUUUCUACUAGCACAUGGAUCGUGAUAACUCUCUUUCUUAUAGAAUGAGGGGCAGUUUCCCUUAGAGUAAUGCGUAUGACCAGACGGAAGCUGAUGAAUGGUUGUCGACUCUGAACGUAGUUCAUGGCACGGUUCCCCCGACCCCGCACCAUUACUGGCAGGCGGCAUAAAGAAAGCCCCAAUCCGCAAGGCUCUUAGCACCUCUUUGGGUUUCAAUUCAUUCUGAACUUCAAUAGCAUAGCCAGAGUAAGCGGAGCAAGUCCCUUCCUUGAUAAGCAGAGAAAGGAUCAAAGAGAAGAAUCUCCGUGGUGAGCAAGCAGUAGCCGAACAAUCCAAAGGAGGUACUAGGAUUCUUGGUAAGAUUGAACUACAUUGCGCAUCCCACAGCUAACUGCAACUUGUGAGCCUAUUUUGAAGCUACUAAAGAAGAGAACAGCCCUUCCAAGUGGGAUGAGGAGUGUAAGGAGGCGUUUGACAAGAUAAAGUAGUCUUUGAUAAAUCCACCUGUUAGAUCUCCUCCGUCUCCGGGGAAGCCCCUACUGCUGUACCCUUUAUUGACAGAAUAACUUGUCUUUGUUAUCAGCCUGGAGUUUUUGUAUAGUGCUGCUAGGAGAGCUCACUAAGACUAGGAGCGGAUUCUAUACCAGUCACAGCGUAUUCUGGGCAUCAAUGCACUAACUCCUUCGCUUAUUCACCCUUAACCUCGUUCUUGGUUACGCGCGCCGUCUACUCUGUGCAUACACUAGGGCUCUCAAAUGGUCGACUGCGAAACACCUUGUCCUGGAAUUCAUUCGAUUUCUAUUUCAUAUUCCCCUUGUUCCUUGGAAAAGAUCUUCUUAUUUAUUAUAUAUUAAUAUGGAAAGAUCUUCUUAUUUAUGACUUAUAGAAUAAUAUGGCUGGAAAGCCUGAGUAAACAAAACAAGACAAGGGAAAAGCAACACAAGUAAAGAUUGAUGUAAUUGCAAGGGUGCUAUAAACCCCCGGCUUACCAGAGUUCGUAAAGUCAUUAAGAGUUCGAUCGAAACUGGGAGAGUUAAGGCCGUUAAAGUUCAUAUACUCAUAUGUAGAUGUAGUGCUUUUCAAAGCCGACUGAUAUUGAUAUAUAAGAGAGGCUGAAGCUAUUGCCUUGCGAUGAUCAUCUUCGGUGGAUCGAACCCAUACUAACAAGCUGCAGUUAGGAGCUCCGGCAGAAAUAGGUGAGUUGGGGUAGAUUUAAGCAGGGGCAUGAAUAGAUCGUGCUUGCACCGGACAGAGAGGCUGGUAUACAGAGGGAAUCUCUUGUGAUAGAUGAGCCGUAGUCCUGGGACAUGAGUCGAGAGGUACUCUAACCUAGCCAUAUGGUUGGGGUGGCAGAGAAGUCAGAGUGCAAUUGGAGACUUCACGACCCCGGCGUCAAUCCUGGCAGCAAUCCUUCAGGGAAUCUAUUACACUCAUUCUAUCAAUGACUCGCCUUAGAUAGCAUCUUAGAUGGCUGAGCCCUUAUUGAAUGAAGCAGGGCUUGACUCCACUCCUUCCCUCCUAUCUUGAGCCUUGACUCCACUCCUUCCCUCCUAUCUUGAGCUUUGAAGCCAGAGUUAGCGUACUGAUAGUGGGGCACUACGGAUUGAUAAUAAAGAUAUGAAAAGACGGAAACUACAGCCUUCCUUUGAUUUUAUGGUUCAAUACCUUCUCUGGCCCAUGAAACAAGAUUGGAAUUGAACCGCUCUAAGCCAACAAAGAUUUCUUACCUAGCUUCAAAGCCUGUAAUUGACUCUGCUACUUACUAUAUGGGCCCGACCCGAACUCCUCUCUGCUAACAGAAUGAGGCUCCUCUCCGGUAUUUCACUAACAAAGCUACUACUAGCAUUCCUAACAAAGCUACUACUGUUCCACUCUAACUCAGAACUCGGGAUUCCACAACUACAUUAAUCGUAAAGGGCAGUCCGCUGAGCUACACUUCCCGCGCGCAACUCUCAAUCUGGUCUUAAAGCCAACUACUCUGUUGCUACUAGAUUCUUCUUAUUUCCCCAACUCGUUAACUGGGGAUGAAACUAGAACAGACAAAUACAAAUAUGAAGUAGACCUCGCUUCAAAUCAAAUACCUGGAAGACGAGACAGAAGUAGAUCUCGCAUCAAAGGCAUCGCAGCUGACGCUGCCCUCGCAUCAAAGCAAGUCAGAUAGUCUGCAACUUACUAGAAGGGCUUCUCUACUUCCUCUUUGAACUAUCACAAGAACAGGACUCCCGGAGACGAACAAAGGACUUGAAGUGCGGACUACCGAAGUCAACUAAUUCCGAUUUCUUACGUACACUCCGAGCCUUACUAUGAAGCUUCCAACUCGCGAUGCAACUCUCACUUACCCUGGACUACCGGGCAAUGAAAUAAGUGUCAUCUACUAUGAAUGAAACGACCCCUAUACCGAUCCCUAUCCAUACGCGCCUACCCGAGUAAGUAAACUACUAAGUCAGUAAACCAACCGACCCGACCCUAGUAUAGGAAUUCCACUACUACGGAGAAGGUAUCAAACAAAAGUAAGGUUAGCAAACAACCAAUAAGGGCCUCUACAUUCCUUCCCACACCCCCACUCGGCAGCAUCUGAUAUGGCCAUGCAUUCUGAACCCUAUUCUUCUAAUUCCACACCCCCGACCUCGUAUUGGAAUGACACAAGCCCUACCCCCUAACAAGACACGCCUACCCAUACCCAUACUAGGCACCAGUGGAUUGGAUCUUAAGUCAACAAAUCAUGAAACAACUCUCCCUUUAUCUGAAGCAACAAAUCAUUUCUUAUCUUGCGCUGAAGUGCCUACGUUAGCCUCAUCUUUCGAGCAGAGAGAUCUUACCAACAGUUGGACCACUCCCCGGGCCGGGCGCAACUAAUUCAUAUGGAAAUGGAACGGAUCUGCAUAUAUAGUAGGAAAUGCAACUCAAGUAAUGGAAACUACAUCCCUUUUGUCGACCUAAACAGAACUUUAAUAAUCUACAAGCCAAUACACCGACAGAUUCCACUCGCGAUUAAACUCAUUGACAACGCGCUGAGGAAACCAGUACUUUUGAGUCCUUUAACGCAAGUCAAGCUGGCUGAUAUACUCCCUAUAAGUUCACGCUUAUGCUUUUCUUCGCUUUAGAUCUGACUUACUUAACAUGCAUUUCAGAUUGAAGAGAAAUCCGGAAUCAAGCCGAUGAUAAGAAGUGGAUCUUCUUUAUGAGUUGCUUCGACAGAUAGCAAAGACUUCUCACUUAUAAGUCAAGUAAAGUAAAAGACUUCUCACUUAUAAGGAUAGUAAUAUUUCACGAGCGAGCUAAGCAAAUUCCAAUGAAAUAGCUGCCCCUCGGAGUCACUUUUCAAGGUUUUUAUAGUCAAGUGAUUUAGAAUAAGUUCGGAUAUAGGAUAGCCGAGUAAGCAAGCGCAUUCAGGGGCAUAGGAUAGCCGAGUAAGCAAGCAUUCGGGGGCAUAGGAGUGGAAUUCUGACCUUUGAGUUCACCCCGACCUCUCCUCUAACUCUAAACUCCUGCUGACCACUCCUGUUCGUUUUCAACCUUCAUUCUUAUCCAAUAACUCCCGGCUCAGCUAACUCAGGCUCAGAUCAUCUCUUUGAACUCUUUCUCCUCUCUUACAAAUAUACCUCCAUCUGUUCUCUUCUCUUGCUCAUCUAGCUAUGUCAACUAGUCCGCAUUUUGCCUCUGUCUCUUAUCCUCUACCUCUGUAAACUGCCAAGCGACUAGGCAAGUCCUGUUUAUUAGGGUUCUUUAUUAGGGUUCUCUUGCCGAAACUCACAAUAAGGGCCCGAGCUAACUCGAUCUUACUUACCGACCUCGACCUGGAACAGGCAAUUCCCCAGGCCAAGCUACUUACUAGACACUCAAUCCGGGCCUAGCUACUACUACUUCAAUCUGUUUCUUAUUUACCGCAAGCUGCUGGAUCCCGAGCGCAUAGCAAGUAAUAAAUACAUUAUCACAGCCUUUGGGAGUGCUUAUUUAGCCUAUGGCAACUUCCAACUAUUAACAGAAUUAGGCUAAUCUCACUCUUUCUCCUCUCCAAUGGAAUACCUCUGGCUCAUAUUCCUUAAUUCUUAUCCAAUAACUCUGGCUCAUCUAACUUCAAUCUGACUUGCUUCAUGAGGCUCUCUUCUCUUCUUGCCUUCAUCUCUUCUUCGGAGAAUUGAGACUUUAGUGACUUGGCCCGAUCAUCUAUAAUAAGAGUGGAAUUCAUAGUUGCUAGCUCAGCUCCUGAUACUGGAAAUUCUCUACUCCAAGCAUGGUCUCGAGCCGCUCUAAGACAACUACUACAGUUAUUGCUCUCAUCUAAUCUAAUAUCAAUACUACAGUUAUUGCUCUCAUCUAAUCUAAUAUCAAGUCCAGGUCCAGUAUCACAGUUGACUUUGGAACUCACUCCUACUGUUGCUCACCUAGUAACUUCCUUCUGGGAAUCGGUGGGCAAGGGAAGCUAAGCUAUAAGUACUUCAGUGAAGAAUUGAACGACUAACGACCAAGCAACGACUAUACCUCUUACCUAUUAGUUCCCCCACUUUCAGUUAGUUCUUACCUUAGACACAAGCACAAUCACCUCCCUCUCUAAACCUACCCGCCAAGCGACUCCUCAUGUUACGCGGCAGCAACAAAUGUACUCUAGUUGACUACCCGGUAAGAAUAGGGCUCCAAAUUCAUUAUUUACCAAAUUCUUAUAUGUUUUUAGAAGAUUGCCCAUUUCCACUAAUAAACUGGCCGGAUAAUGCAUUUCUUCCUAACAUCCUUAGGGUUCCCUUCGAGCUCGAGUAUAGCUUAUUUCUGCCAGACUUAUUUAAUGGUAGAAUCUUAUGUUCGAGUGAAAUCUUAUAAGGAAGUAGGUAACACCCAGGAUAGUUGAUAGGGAGUAUUUAUGGGCCAUUAGACCAGACCUAGCCCCUGAUUCUGUUGAUGACAGUAAACCCUUAUUCUGUUGAUAAAGCUUCUUCACCCGAUCCUGACUCGUUGCUAUAAACCAUAUUCUAUUGACUUCCAAACAAACUCCCGACUCGUUGCUAUAAACUGCUUCCUGCUAUAAUCCCACGGACUAAGAAGACAUAUCUCUUUUGAAUGCCCACUAUGUUAAGGGAAGAACAGAAUCAAGAUCAGAAACAUAAGCAAGAUCGGGCUUUGAAGAAGGAAUUGAUGAAUAAGCCUAAGAUGGAAAGUAGGCUGUCAUAUUUCUGACUACAAGUCGAGUUAGGAAGUCUGCUGUAAAUGAAGUGGAGGUAGCAGCGGUACAAAGAGGAGGUUUGCUAUAAGUGAUUCAGUUUCAAAGUACCUAGAAGCAUUGGUUACGGCUUAAGGAAAGAAAAGCUGUGGAUCUAGCCUAUUAGUAUUCAAAUAGAUAUUAGCUCGUAUAGGCAUAUAAGAACUGUUCUCGUUGGCUCUAAGUGAGGAUCAUAAGCUUCCAGAAGGUAUAGAUUGUGGGUAAUAUUCCUUAUUUAGAUACGACUACUAGGCGCUGCGCUCAAAAGAUUCAAUGAAUUCUUAAGACAGUGGAGUUUAGUCCUUAGUUGAUGCUAGUUAACGAGUUGAUCAAAGUGAAAGUGCUAACGGAGCUCUUGUUGGUGACUUGAACCUUCUUCUCGGCUUGAGAAAAGAGCUAGAACCAGAAACUGUAAUAAUAAUGAACCGGCAUCUGAUCCUGCUCCUAGCGGUAAGUAAACUAUAUGAAUUAUAGCAGUUAGAAAAGUGUGAAGUGACUUCGAAUACUUACUUAUACAUAUAAGGACUAUGACUUAUUACUAAUAGUUAUAGGAGUUAGGAGUUCAAUUCCAUACCUGAGUUAUGAGUUAGUCGUACUUAUCAUUGCUUCACACAAGUCAAACUUUCGAGUUGCUUGCCCACUUCUAGUCGAGUUUCAUCCUAGUUUGCUACUCAAGAAUCAGAGGUUAAGUCGGCAGCAAGCGCAUCUGUUAAACAAGCCAAGUCAGCAGCAAGACGUUCACCAAGUUUAGUUCAGGGAAGAAAAGAGGACAAGACAAACUACAUAAAUAACAUAUAAUAAAGGUACUCCACUUGAAGCAGAAAAAUCCGCAGUGCGCUUGUUAACUACACGAGUUAUAGCAUUUGAUAACCACAGAGAUAGGUCGCUGAACCAGAAUCAUUCGCUGAGUAUGAUAUAUGAGUCCUGUUUCUUUCACUCUCGAAGGAAUACUUGCCAGAAAUGGGAACCUCCACUAUGGCUAACAACUCUUUGAUCGAAUACGAGGGAAAUACUGGGAACGGUCUCUUAUCCGGAAAACAAGACAAGGGGAUGCUACAACACUCGGGAGAACCUCUCCUAUCGAGCUGAGAUAACCUCUUUCAAACAAUCUGAUGGGAGAGCUCAAAAGGAAGUAUAACUAGGAGUCGAGGGGGAACUCAAAGAGGAAUGAACGGAAGAAGGGAAAGGGCCAAGCAACUGGACAAGCUCACCUCUGAGUUUCAUUAUGUAACUACUUAGGUCAAUUCUAACUUUUGGAAAUAGGACCUGGUUGUGUUGGCGAUAUAGGAGAAUAUGGGUAUGUAUGAUCUAUAGGGCCAUACUCAGCAUAGGUACGACUCAGCAGCGCAUCUACCAAUAUGAAUAUAGGUCUCAGAGCACUAAGCAACGAAUAAGUAAUAGGACAGAGAGCCAAACUCCGCUGUAUUGGAAUUCUGGGCACAAGAAUAUAGCCAGUAACAAUAAUACUUUUCACCCAGCGCUAGCAGGAAUCCGCCUAGUAAUAUAGAAUUCACCUAGUAAUGAUAAGACCUUAGCUUCACGCGCCUACCUUACUUGUAUUCUAGAACUCCAAAUAAUCAGAAUUGCACCAACAAAAGAUAGACUGACCUUACUAAGCAGCAGAAGAAUAAAAGCAUAGAUCCAGUUGGAAAGCGAGGAGAGUUUUAGUGAAAGUGCCGCGGGGAGGACAGGCUAUUAGUUAGCAGCUCCAUUCUGAUAGUAAUAAGUGGAUCGGAUCUCUAAUAUGCCCCAAAAGCCUAGUUCCUAUUUACGAGUUGUUGUCUUAGAGAUAGCUGCUACAGCCUUAGUUCUGAGUCGAGGUCUUAUUAGUAGUAGGACCCAAUCCGAUGUAUCUGACUUUCUAGUUGUUCUCUUAGUACUCGGUGAGGCAGUCAAUUCUUCAAUGAAAAUACUUUUAGAAGGAACACACCAUAGGGUUGGGCAAGAAAGAGUUAUUUAUAGUUAAUACAAGUUAUGUUGAAUGGAGCGUUAGACUGAAGCUAUGCAUUGAAGGCAGGAGCCUAAGAAGUUAGGUUCGCAAGUUAGGCUUAGUUGGUGUAUCGGGAAUGUAGGAAGAAUUGCCCUAACCCAUAAGAAUUGGCUGUUGGGUUCUGUACUACUGGUCUGUUACUCUAGUAGCUUAUUCCGUGUUUUCUUAUAUUAGAAUUCGUUUUCUCAUUAAAACGACUUCCCUUUCUACUCUAGUUUGGGUGACUUUACUUUCCUUUCCACCCUUAGGAUGCAACACCAACAGCAUCUUGGAUCUUGACCCUAAAACGGAGGUGAGGACUUCGCUUCAACAGAACUAGUAACCCCAUUAUAAUACUGACUAAUAGGAGUUAGCGUUAAGUAACUUGUUAGGAGUGAAAUUCCAUACCGGUACAAAUACUAAUCUCUAUCCUAUUGCUUUUAUGCACAACACCUUAUUUUGAGUGGCUUGGCAGAGCAAGAAAACCCUCAAAUAAUGGAAUUGGAAGCUGGUUUGAUCUAUUCCUAGCGUUUUCCCUAUCAUCUGAUCUUCCCCGUUCAAUAAAUGCAUUUCAAGCCUAUAAAACAGGGCAGCGUUUCUUGUCGUCUUGUCGGCUUGGCGGACCAGUAGUAGACUCAUCGACAACAAAUACAUAUGAAACUGCUUUAGAUCCCAAUCCAGAUCUGGUUCUUGCUUUCUGCUUUAGCUUACAAACUUGCUCCUUCUUUUUCUGUAACUGGCAAUUCUCCUAAUUAAGAUCUGUCAACUGUUUCUUAUCCUUCUCCCGCUUCGCUUACAACUGACUUAGGAACUGCUGAUUCAGUUACUGUGGAUUCUAUCUCUUAUUGACACCUUGGACUACGGGCAAUCAGUCCAUAUAAGGUCAAUCAGUCCAUAUAAUAAUACUUACCGCAGCACAAGUACCAAAAGAAACGAAACUGGAUUUACUUGUUACUGACUUGCUAUAUGGUGAAACUAUAACCCAAAUAGAUUCAAGUUCAAGGACAGAAACGCUUGUUGGCUCUUCUAAUGCUUUUAAGCCUAUCAUCUUUACCCUUUCGAAAAGAAUCUAUUUCUGGCAUAUAAGAUCUAAUUGAAUAGCAAAACUCACUUCUUAUACUACUGCUGACACAAACUCUCUCACGUGAGCUCCUGUUUUCGGCGUUAGUGUUCGAAAGCCUAAAGUUCACUAGUUUGUUCAAAAGCCUAAAGUUCACUAGUUUGUUCGAAAGCCCUUUUUGACUCUUAACCAACACUAGGAUCUGAAGCCGCCCUUACUAAUAGUGCCGAAGAGAAUGCCCACAGAGGGAUCAGAAGGUGGUAGCAGUGCAAGGACUGGAAAUUCCACUUGUGCUUAUUGUUCUCCGGCUUCUUUUGAACUCAUAUUCUAUAAGAAAUAAGGAUGCGCCUAGCCCUUAAGUAAAUGGGAGUAAAGAUCAGCUCUUUUAGAAUGCCAAGUUCCUGUUCUCAAGUAAAGGUAUAAAGGUGUUUGCGUGGGAAGGGCCAAGCUUCGUUUUGAGUUGCGCUAAGGAGCCCGGGGGGAGUUUCAUCCCGGCUAAGUAACUGCUACAAACACAUAACAUGUAAUAGACGACUGAUGAUUCUUUCUAAGCCAAUACCCGAACAAGAUUUGUAGGGAACUUUCCAAUUGCAGCUAACUAUUGAACUGCUUUUGAUGCUUCUUCAGCAGAUCCUUAUUCCGCUUCCUCACCAGAUCUAGCUGUUGCUUAUGAUCCUACUCUAUAUUCUAAUUCCACAGCAUAUUAUAGAGUUCCUACUCUGACUCUUUAUCCUGUUUCCUCUCUUUCCAUUCUUAUUGUCAACUUACUAGAAGGGCCUCCACUCCCUUACCUGUCAACAGGACCACUACCUAGCGCAACUCUCUCUUAAUUAUGACUUGAAACUAGAGCUCUCCUUUCUGACCCUACUCUAGCUGACCCGACUCUUGCGCCUUAAGGAUUUACUUAUUUGUUUGAUCCUCUCGACUUGCCUCGUUGCUUGGCCCUGUCACAAAUGCAAAUACGGAGCUUCUAUCUCGCUCACUUUAUACUUACCUACCCUAUGGGUAUUCGAAAAGAUCUGAUAUAGUAGACUUCACUCGUACUCCAAGAUAUGAUACUGAUUCACUAACCGUUGAACCCAACACCACAGAGUGGGCAUUCUCUUCUGAAUAAGCAACAUUCUUUUGUUUCGCAAGUCCCGUUUUUCACGUUAAUGAGCGGGCCACUGACUUGGAUCCAGCUUAUGUUCUGCUUUCAACCUAUUCUUUACCAGAUUAUAUAUGAUACUUUCCUCUUAUUGACCCGUGCAGACUUUCUUUCUCGUAGACCAACUAAGGGAAAGCCUAUUAACUAUACUAUACGACAAAGAGCUACUACAGCAGAGUAUUUGAAGUCGCACCUCUCUCCACUCGAAAUACAGAAUGCAACGGGGCCCCCGGGACUACUACUACUGGGCUGGGCUCGCUGACCAAAUCAUUCUACUAUCAACUAUUGGCAAAGAAUGAACUGAGUACCUGGAUGCAAGGGACCGAUCGCCAACAAUUUCUUACUACCACUCACCGGCAAGCUACUAAGAGACCCCAAACCCUAACAAGCUAGUAAGUCAACAAAGUCAGUCCACCACCCUAACCACCAAGCUUAGUAUAGACUAUCUGAUUGCCCAAACUCCCCUUCCCUUGUGUUGCCCAGUCCUACCCUAUAGUAUAGAAUUAGAAUAGAGUCAAAACUACCACUUUGCUAUAAAAAACCCUAGAAUGAGAAUGGAGUCAAAACUACCACUUAUUCCCUUUCCACUCAUGGCAACGUACUAACAAACGGAUUUGCUUAUAUUAUAUGAAUAUGAGUCGACUUGUCCGCUUUUGUAGCACCACUUCUGGCUUAGGUUAGCUUGUAAGAUUCUUCCCCUGCCCCCGGAACUUGACUUUCGAACUGAGGAUUCUCUUGUUUCCCCUGCCCUGGCCCUUGCUUUAGUUCAUUCUUUUUCUACUGCACUGGCCUCUCCUUCUGACUUACAGUAGUACUACCGGUAUUAGGCCUCUACUUCUGCCCUAUUAUUAAGUACUGCUUCCAAAGAUGAAAGUAGGUCUGCUCAUUCUAUUCUAUAUAUGACAACUAAGCUUCUAUAUAUGACAACUAAGCUAAGGUAAAGCCAAUUACCGAACCUAGAUAACACUCAGACACAAUACCGAACCUAGAUAACACUCAGACACAAUAACUAUAAGGGGCAAAGGCAAUCACUCACUCUCAGGCUUCUCCGAUUACCCACAUCGAAUGAGUUUUACCUAGACAAUUAGUUCAUUUGAAACAAGGGAUAUGAAAAGGGUCAAACUCCGUUUCCAGUUCUGAAGGAAGCAAGCCAUAGAGCAUAACCAGAAGCCAAAGUCAGUUUCAACUGAUUCCUCAAUUGGUUAUUAGAGUUCGGGUGCUUCAAGCCUGCAGUUUCUUAACUACUGUUUCUAGGGUGUUAACUAAGUUGACUUUGCGUUCUGCUACUACUCACUUGGAUUUGUACUAUACCUUAUAUAUAAGUAAGUCUGUACUUGCCCUUCCACUAGUAUUCGUUCCUUUAGCCUACCUUUACUUGCAAUAAUAUAAGUCCGGCUUUACUUGCUUUUAAACUCACGAAAUAUCUCUUCUUUCCCCCUGCCCCUACUACUUGGAAGGCUAUAUCACCACUGUGGGGCAUGAUCCUGGCUUUCCAACUGUCGCUACUUACCGAAAAACUUGCUUUGCUUCACUUACCUCUGCAGUUAACUCUCAUUCUGUGGGACGUCCCUUGCAUUUAUGAUUACCAGACUAUUUACUUAUAGAUCAAUACUAACAAUAAGCAAUCGAGGAAUACUGAAUUGAGCUGGGGAAAAGGAAUACUGUUCAUAAGUGAGAGAAUGCAACUGUGCGAAUAAGGUGCUGAAAGCCUAGGAAGCCAAAGAAUGGAAUGUCUGGCCAGUUAAGAUAGUUUCGAGUUAGAGCUAGUUAACCUCACAGGUAGUUUCAGCUUCAAAGUAAGGAUUCCACUCAACUCACUCAGUAGUAUAAGAGUCAAAACCUAGAGUGGAAGCAUCAAAAUCCAACUAGUAAGUAAAAGAACCAACCAGUAGGGGCGUGGAUUCGCUCUAAAGUCAGGAUACCUACAAGACUCUAGGUAGUUAUAUCAAAUUCCAUAAGGGAUGUGAUUCUCUAACACUGGGGUACAGUACAUACCCUGGCUGAUAAUAAAUGCAGGAUACUGGCCCGGGGUGUACUACAGGACCUAUAAGACCAGACAAGUAACUACAACUCGGGAGCUACAUUCCUCUCAACACUAACUCCUGUCCUGUCUCUCGUUCUUUUACUCCCGAUACGACCUAGAGCAUCUACUAAUAGAAUAAAGAUCGAGUGUCUCAUAUUAAGAGAAUUCAAUCAAUAACAGAAGGAAUUGCCCUAAGAAGUAUCAGAAUGGAGUUAAUUGGUAUCGGCCUAGGAUUGAUACAAACAGAGGCGCACAGAACAAGGGCUUAUUCUAAUAGUUUGAAGAGAAGGUGGGAAGUUGCUCAGAAGCUAAAACAAGGUAGUAGAACAUAGAUUCACACUUCAAAGGAGGCCAGUAAGCCUGGGAGACCAAAGUGACUAGUUUCAAAACGAGUUCCGUCAUAUUUAUAGGUGAGUCAAUAAGGACGAGGACAUAGUUGGAGGUGCACAUAGGAAUUCGAAUAAGUAGUUGUCUUGGGAGUUAGGUGCGGAAGGGGCAAAGGUCAGGAUCAAACUCCAGAGUCAGACAGCCGGUAAAGAACCUGUGUUAGUACAUUCUUUCGGUAAAGAACUAGUAUUAGUACAUUUAUGGAAUAUUACCCGCUCAUCAAUUGAAUUAAUAACUUAAAGGUGGAGGCGAGGUCCGCAAUCAGAGAGGGAAGUUCCCUUCAAAGAGCAGAGUUCUGGUGCAAAAGUGAUCACCACACCAACCAAGAGAUUCAGUUGGCGCUGCGUAGUUAUUUGUUUCUAUGCUCGGUAAGUGCUCGUAAGUGCUCGUGCCCCAAAGUAAUAAUGGAAUGGAAGGAUUUAAUGAUCAACUGCCAAAGUGAGAGUUAGAGUUGACAGAAACAGGACUUGCUUGCUGGAGUAGCUUAGCUAGUGUUAUUCCUAUGUUGUAGUUUCAUCCGCUCCCCCAAGUAGUUCAUUCUGACUUCAGUGGUGCCCCCCUUUUUCUUCUGGCUUUUGUAUACGUUGCUUGGCGUCUAGUCGUUGCUUGGCCCUCGCAUUCCCGUUCUCUUGUUUAAACCUUCCUAUACAGCUUGGCAUUCUGACUAUCUUUGAUCUAAUUCUCCAAUGUUGUCCCCCGGUCCUGCAAGGUUGUAGUAAAUAGCCUAUAUAGCCUAUAGGAUAUGGUAGGUAUGAUCGAUCCCGUGCACCUAACAAUUCAAUAAGAAACUGGGAUUUCCACUCAUGCUAACAAGACCCAUACUACUCACUGGGAAAUCUGCUACUUACCUCAAAGCUGUCCUACCUAGCUCUUUGAUUCUGUAACUGAUGCCUAUAAGCCUGUUUACAAUAACUCAUAUAUAUAUUCUUAAUAACCCGCCGAUCAGUCACCGAGCAAACUACUAACUACUAUAGGAAUCAAAUAACAACUAACAAGAAUAAACGGUGUGGGCAACCUUCUACUAUAAGACUUUCCUCUGCUAAGGAAGAAUCAAAACAAAGCCAAGGAAGCAAGCUACUCUAUAAGAAGAACAGGCUUACUUUACUUAAUUAAUUAGACUUGAGUCCGACUCCGAGACUCCUUGAUCUCAGGCUUGCUUUUUGUUAGUUAAUUCAUUAUUCUGGGAUAAGGCAUUAAAAGCGGUAGCUGGCUUCUCCGCUGUAGCUCGCUUCUCAUCCUAGUACCAAAGCCUUGUUGACACCAGUCCCAUUCUUCUGUUGACUUGUUUGAUCCCGAUUGACAUUAUUCGAGUUCUGUUAUUAUAUGCGCGCUACGCCCACGGACCUAAUUCUUAUACUGAUUAGCUUCAUUCUGUACAUGCACCGGAUCAUACCAUCAUACCCUAGCACCGGAGCAUACCAUAUGACCCUAUAGGCUAUUGACUCCAACUUGAAAUACACCUAUUCCAUUGACUCCAACUUUACAUACCUAUUGUUUUAGUAUCAGUGAACUAAGGUUGUUUUAGUAUCAGUGAACUAAGGCCCUAUACUACAUUGCUAGUGCACCUAGGUAUAACAAUUAGUAUUAGGGUAGAAUAAAAGCACAGAACUCAAUUAAUUGCUACUGGAAAGAAUCAGACAAAGAAAUAGGGCUUUUGACUAUUACCUACAAGAAUUGAAGCUACCGCUUUUAACAGUAAAACAAAGAAAUAGGACUACUUUAGCUACUGGCCUCGAGUCCCUGUGCUUAUUGGUUGAAACUGAAACUCAGGACUUGACUUCUUAUCGCUACCAACACUAGUCUUAGAUCACUGCUACUACAUCCCUACUCAAAGCGAUGGCACCUUAACACUUAAAGCAUUACUUGACUGACUUUAAAACAAGUACUCUAGUAUACAUUACUUGCCUAUUUCUUACUAUGCAAUCCAACGAGCGCUUCCAAUCUAAUGAAGAAUCCCACAACAGCAGAUAAGAAUACGACUUACAGCCUAUGAGCCUUAUCUUACUUGCUUCGACUCUAAUACCCUGGGCACUUUCUCUAUAUCUCCUUUUGCUCUAACUCCCUUAUUGCCCCUUGCACCCGGGCUUGUUAAGCUAAAGAAUCGAAUUGGCACCGAUAAUACUACCACAACAAUACUGGAUUUCUUUCUUUCCUCCCCGCUCGUACCUUAUCAAACAAACCCUAGCUACCCCAAAGCAGGGCUCUACGAAACAGAAAGUAUCAUGGCUUUCAGCUCCUUCCUUGAAAAUGGAACUUGUAUCUGUCUUUUAAGGAUCAAUAAUGGCAACAAGUAAAGCGGCAAAUCCUUCUCCAAACUCACGUCUGAACUGACUCGCCGACGCACAACAUAAGAAAGAAUGGAAUAUGAUCUGUGCUUUGCCUGAUGAUUUACAGCUUGACCUUUGCUUUGUUAGUGCUUCUGUAAUGGACUUUUCCUUUGCCUGAGACAGCUUUCCCGAGUAGCUCGCCUUCUUCUUCUCUUAUUGGGUCCUAUCCUUACCCUAUCAAUUCUUCUUUGAUCUACUUCCGGAGGGAAAUCAAUCAGUAUCAAGAAAGCUCUAUCUCUAUAAGCGGGGGAAUGAAAUCAUCUGAACUAAACAAGCAACGGCAAAAGCUACGGAAUAAACAAGCUACGGAACAAGCUACGUAACAAGCUCCGGAACAAACUACUAUUAAUGGAUAGCUAACGGAGAACAAGGCAAUAAUGAAUGAGUCUAGGAUAGGGUUUAGCUGCCAAUAAAGAGCAUUUUCAGAAACUUCAACAAGCAAGAGUAUCAUAGAUGAGCGGUUAAACAAGCGAGUAUCAUAGAUGAGCAAGCAGAUAAUGUGAAUCUAUUAGAUCAUAUGCGAGAUAGAUAAAAUUGGGUAGCUUCCAACUCUCCCGUCUUUCUUCUUGUAAUGGUGGCUUUUGACGAACAGUUGGCUUUAGUUCAUUAUAUCGUAAUUCCUUAAGUAAAGUAAGUAAUUCAUUAUAAGUGGGUGGAGUAACUAACUGUGCCGAUAUUAGUUAUUCAAGCUUUCUUUCUUUUAUUUCACCAGCAAACUCAAGCUGAAAAGAGAAAACCUCAUUGAAGCUUAUGAACGAACCGAACCCAUCUUCCAAAUUGCUAACUAAAGCUUGACAUCACCCUCCAAUAGUUAAGAUAAUAGAAUCUUUCUAGAGAAUUGAAUAUUUACAUCUAUUGAUAGAUAAUAUAAUAUUGACAUCUAUACUGAACCGAGACCUUAACCUCUGCUAAAUCUCUUGGUUUGGUUCGGUUGUCCUCUUUGCUAGCCGGAGUAUACCACUAGUGAAAAACCCUUUGAAGAGACAAGGGAUCGAUGUCGCUAGGCGAGGUCAACUCUAUCAUUGUUCUCCCUUAAUCAAUAUAUAAAUAAGCAAGGCAAGUUGGGCUACAACUAUCCCGAUGCAGCAAAGAAAGCUAGGUCGUGCUCUUAUCGCGGGGAAAGGGUCGACUCCGAAAGAUCAGAGAAAGAACAAGAACCACAUUUGAUCCACACUUAUAGCUAAGAGCGGCUUUUUGAGCUACUAUACUGGCGCUCUCAACGUCGCGCAGCUUUUUCAUCUUAGUAAUCCAUACUCUCGGGGACCUGGGGCAACCAAUAAGAAAGACUCUAUCAUUUAAUGGUAGUUGAGUGAAGAAUGAACAAGUAACGGCUUGCAGCAACAAACAAUGGAACAAGCUACUGUGCAAGUACAAACAAUGAGGCUACUAAGCUUUGGAGUGUGCUGUUAGUGAGCUCUCAGGGCAGUAAAGGCGUUGCGAAAGACAGAGUCGUCUUGAAAAUCGAGUAUUUGAAUCCCUUGAAGAGAUUGUGUUUCAAUACAAUAAAUGCCGAUUCUGAGAAAAAGCUGUAAGCAAAGCAGUGUUUUGAAUCCCUGGUUCAUCGCAUUUCGCCUGCUUUGAUUAGGACUUUUUUGCCAGGUUCUUUCACAGUUAACAAACAACCAUUGAAUCCUGAAGUGACGGAACUACCAAUCCCAAUCAAAGGUCCUACUCCUAUUGACCUUGUAGCAGAUUCGAUAACGGAAUUAGUGCUCUAACAGAAGAGACUUGCUUAGGUCACACCUUGAUCUUAUCCUCCGAGUGCCAAGCUAACUUUAACUAGGAUUCGUUCACAGAGAAAGAUUCGGUUCUUCCUUCUUUUGAUCUUAUCCCGCAACUGCCCCUAGGAAAGAAAAGAGAAAUCCCAGUCUUUAUCAGGUCCGGAUCAGGGAACUCCUCUUUCUAUGCUAAUAGUUUAGUCCUACCUAACUUUAUGUUGAUUGAUACUCGAGAGUAAGGUCAAAAAACAAAGAGUAAGCAAUCGAAGACCUAUUCAUUCUAAUGCCCACUUAUCUAAUCUAAGUUAAGUUCAUUUCGGAUUCAAUCGAUUCUUCCCACCCAUGUGUAGCCUAUGCGAAGCAAGCCAAGACUGGGCUCACAUAUAUCCUAUUCCUCUUAUUGCUGGCAGAUUAUAUAAACUAUUGAUUUGAUUAUAUAAACUAUUGAUUUAUAAACUAAACAUAAGGCAGAGAUAUAGAAAUGUGGGAAUCGUGGAAAAUGAUGUCACAUCACAGCACCUCCCCUCGCUCCACUAGCUAGGUAACUCCUUUUCUAAGCUAAGAAAGCAGCAAAUCAGCGCAAAUAGGCUCUCCUAUCAUUCCCUCCACUUUCUCUUAUAUAGUAAGUAUGGAAUAUAGUCAGUAUGGAAAGUGCUCUUAUAUAGUUAGUAUUGCAAGUAGUCAAGAUGCCAGUGCCUAUGAUAUUGCCCUUCCUUCUCUUGUGCCGGGCGUGUGAAUCUGGAACCAAAGGACUACUUCUCGUGAUGAGCUAUUUUCAGGAAUCUUUCGCCUUCGAAUUUCUUUCAUCACCCUUUUGAUUAGUUUGAACAAGAGAAACUUAUUAGUUUGAACAAGAGAAACCGCGAACAGCUCUUUGCCUUUCUGCUUCAAAGAAAGAGGUGGGGAGAACCAUCAGUUUGGAGCACCCAUAAAGCUGGGGAAAUGCCUUUUAUGAGCCGCCUACCCUACCUAUACGCAACUCUCUCUCAUUGAUUAAGCCUGCCUGCCUGUGAGCCAUAAGAUGAGUUCUGGUCCAAGAGAUAGGACCCACGGUUAUUGAACUUACGUUCCCCGGUUCGGUUAAGCCCGUUAGUAGGGGCGAGCGAGAGCUGAUUUCGCUUUGAAUCCAACUCUGAUCUUAAUGCACCCGAAAAGAAAAACCAUAGGAAUUGCUGAACCAUCGCUAUCGCUAAAGUAAGGAAGAGUUGAGUUAACGAAAGGCCAUGGGGAUAUCGUUGACUCACUUGAACCUGUUGGCUUUAGUUUCCUUAUAUAUGAAAGCGGGAGUAAAGCAAGGAAUUUCUGCCAUAGACAGCGCAGCAAGUGAAUCAGAUGUCGGACUUCUCUCUCGAGAGAUGAGGCGAAUUGAUAGACCAAUGGGGGGCCAAGCAACAGCCUGUAAUGCCUAAGCACCAGCCUAAGUAUACCCAGCAGCAGGCUUAGAUUAUUACUUGCUUCAUUGUCCUGUGCCACUCGGAAUACAGAUUACUUAAUGCGCGUUUCACCUCAUAGGGAAGAAUCGAACAGGUGUUUAUGCGGGCGUCAUAGGGCAGCUAGGGUGAUGUUUCAUUCUGUAUUUCCUUACAGAGUAGCCGGCUACAUCCCGAGUUCAAUCCGUUAUUGAAUCAGUUCGCGGAAGGUAGAAAACGGAAUACAGUUAUUCAAGAAGAAAGUAAGAAGGACAAUAGGCACUGUUAUCUACUACUGGAUCAAGACUAACUUACCAAGACAAACUUCCCAGGCUUAUGGUCUUGCUUCCUUGUCAGUGGAAUUAGUAUUUGUUAACUACGGCGAAAUUGGUACUCCCCAGUCUUGUGUUUUACAGUUAUCAUAUCUUUAUUACUUGCUAUGUGUUCGGCCAUCAAUUGUUCAUCGAUUGUUAUAAUGAAAUGGCAUCUCCUUAGAAGAGGGAUGGAUCUUGGGCAUUCCAUUCUUUUAAGAGUGGGAGACUCAGAGGAUAGGUCAAUACCAGAGAAGAGAGAGGCAAGGGAUACUUUAUUACUUAGUGCAGGACCGCUAGUCAAUCAAUGUGAUGCGCCAUAUCCAUAUAUUAUUAUUAAUGCACCUUAACCUUUUAUAGCUUCUGUAGUGAGUGACGAUCAGAUUGCCCCAUUUCAUCUUUAAUAACAGAAUGAGGCUCCUGUCUCUAUAAGUAUUAGAUAGUAUAGGAAGUGGGCCCUUAUAAUAAUUGCUAGCGCAUUCCCUUAUCUAAUCUAUUAAUUCCACUUAGAGGUCUUAGACAGCCCCUAAAGAUAGAGAGAGUAGCUACCCCUCCGCUCUUAUCCUAACCAAGUAGUCAACAAAUAAUUCAUUGGAUCUUCUCUUCUCUGCGACAAACACUCGAAAGAAACUCGUAUUCAUUUCUGGUGUUGGGCAAGAAGGAGAUUCGAGAGUCAAUUCGGCUUCUUUUCUUAAGCGAAUCCAGUUUUCGGGCCCAGACUCUGUGGUGGCGGCGUCAAGGAAAGUUUCAGAAUGAAAUAUAGUCGCUGAAAGUGAGAUUUUACAGGUACUCUUUGUUAUACGAGCCCCUUGCACCUAAGCAUUCAGUCUUAUCUUAUUCUUUAACAAGUAGUAGUCCAGGCAACUACUAGACUCGCAACGGGACAAGCCACUACGGAUGAAGAUAAGAAGUUUAUUACUUAUACUGAUAGGACAGGCCCAGACUAGAUAGGACUGGCCCAUACUCAGUGGCUAAAGCGAGGCGCGUCAGGGAGCUCAAUAGGAACUCUAAAGUCUUGUUCAAGUGAUAGGGCUGGGCGACAGAAUAGAGGUUAGUGCGGAGAGACAGUAUAGUUCGGAAAUGCAAAAGGGGCAGAACUCGCAUUAGCAUCAAUGGCGAAGUAUCAACUUAUCUAACUGUGCUGUGCUGCUGUGCCGAUAUGAGUAAUUAAAGGAAGGAAUGAGAAUGAGAGAAAGAAGCUUGUGUUAAGCUUAAUUAAAGGAAGAGCAAUGCUGUGAGUUGAGAUAAAAAGCAAGGGUAGUGUUCACAAGAUCUAUAAUUUCUAUCUUAUAUAGAUGGGAGAACGGAUUCCACAUUCUAUCUAAUUACAAUUCCACUCACACUCUUGCCUCCUACCUCUCCACUUAUUAGAGGUUAAGGGUUUACAAGGGAAGCAGCGUACUUAAGAAUAGGGCUGAAGGAGAGGCUAGUGUACUCAUGACGGAUAUUCUUUUUCAUAGCUUCCCUUAUUCCUAUAUAAAGAGAAAGAUUGCAUUUAGUAGGUGCCAAGCGACUACUAGACAAGUAGACAACCAACCACUUUGCUGCUUUAGAGCCCUAUAGGUUAGCGCUAGAUGUAGUACCUAAUUCCAAUAUGACAACUUGUUCUAUUAAUGUCCGUAUUCCAUUCUUCUACUUACUUGUUUGAUUCUCACUUUCCCACUUGUUAGUUCAAUUCAGUAUCUGUUCUGUUGCCAGCAGGGUUCAAUGAUGAGUUGCGAGUUAGCAGAGAUGAGCUAGUAUAUGCUAUUUGGAGUACCCAUUCCUUUGACAAGCGUAUACUAAUGACCAAGCUAGUGACCGAUUCCAAAGGUAUAAAUUCUCUGAUCAUGAAGAAGCUUUCUCUCUUUGUCUUUGCUUUGUAGUAGUUGAUUGGCUCUGUUACAUACUUGUUAGGCAGGUUUACUUCACUUGAGUAGUCAAAAGAGAGUACUGGCUUUGAUACAGAAGAAAGAGAAGGAGAAGAGUUCAUUCUGUAUUUGAAGCCUGAGUUAGCUGGAGAUGAGCAAGAAGUAGAGGAGCCAUCCAGAGUUAUGAAAAAGUAGAUGAGCUAUAGGUAAUAGGUAGCAUAGAAGUUAUAAGAGAUGAAAGAGUAUAUAGGGAUGAAUUCGUAUAUGCCCUGUCAAAGGGACAAGAAACUUACCGGUAUUACUUGCUAUGUGUUUGUGGGAGACAAUAGGACAGGUAUAAAGGACUGGAAGGAUAGAAAGCAGACACAAGUCACAGGUGUAGUUAGUUGACAGAGGAGAGGCGGGUUCGGUGCCGAUAUCCGUUUUUAAAGCAAUGCAGGAGUUAUGAGUUAGUGUAUGAAGUAGUAAAUAGGCCAAGAAAGUGAGUUGUUGCUAGUCGGCUUGUCUAGGGAAAACUCAAUAGUAUACGCUUUGCCCAGGAAUAGCUGAACUAGAAGGAUAGGAAGUAUUUGUUUCAAGAGGAGAGGAAAGUAACGUGAGAGUUUCAAGAUCUGGUAAAGAAGUGGAAGUUGAGUAUCUACUAGAAUAUUGUAAAUAAGAAGGAUAAUACUUAGGAAGUAUUUCUUUUAAGUGCAGCAGCGAUAUAUUCUUAAUCAGCUGUUCGAGUUUUGUAAACCAGAGAGAGAGAAUCCGCAUCCGCAGUUCUUGUGAAGUCUACUCGAUUAGAAUAUGGUAAAGAAUCUGGUUAAAGAUGAGAAAGAAGCUCUGUAUUUGCAUAGUUUGAUCUCUGUUCAAUGACUCGAUAUCAGGGCUCAGAUCUCCGUUUAGGGAGUGUGAGUGUAGUUCGGUUUCAAGUUGUUUUAUAUAGAAGCGAGAAGAAGCUUCAAUUAUGGAAUCAUAGGAUUGAUCUGCGCAAAGUAACAUUCUGUCAACUCGAGAAUCUGAUGGAGCAGGAGAAGGAUCUUCAGCAGUGCGAGAGUAAGUAGCAUGCGGUUCUGAAAGGAGAGUUCGCCGGGGAUACUUCGAAAAAGAAGCCUUAUUGCCUUGACUUGGAUUAUAGGUUGUUGCUUCUGUAACUGCACCAUUGGUUGUUGCUUCUGUAACUGACCCCCAUUUGAGAGUUCUCUACCACAUUAAUAGAAGCCUGACUCCAAACUUGUUGCCAUUAUGGAUAAGCUAGAGGCAAAGUCACCUGUAUUCUGCUAUCCUAUUAUACAGAGCUAAUGAUUCCGCUUGAGUGGAAUUCGCCUUAGUAGUAGAAAAGAAAAGUACAUAGGCAGCUAAGCUAGGAAGGACUAUGUUUACUACCCGGAUACAAAGUAAGCAAGCGAAGGAAGUAGAUCGGCGGUAGAGUCUUAGAAAAAAGAAGAAAUAUAAAGAUCUUCCAACUAGAUCAGGAUCAGAUGCUGUUGUGUUGAAAGAAAGUCUGCUGUUAAGCCUGAAAGUGUAGUUCUUGACUUGACGUCUACAGGUGCUUCUCAAAUCUAAGAAAUCUCAGUUCCAGGAAAGUAUACGAGAAAAUCCGUCUUAAGGAAUUACCCGAAGAAAGGUAGAGUGAGGAGUAACUUCACACUGGAAAGGAGGUAGGCAUGGGAAGAGCAGUGCGAGGAAAGGGGAAUUCAAAGGCAGCUAAUCAGCGGGAAAGAAAUAAGGGUUCCGGGCAGAAUAUCUGACUUCUGAAGCUGGAAAAGAAGCUGUUCCUAUUGAAUCUGCAGGUGAGGAAUUAGGACCAUCGGAAAGAUCUUAUUAAUCUGUCUUUAUUGGCUCCGAGGGAGGUCAAUUCUUAAAUGACAACUUCACAACCCUGCUUGAACUUAAUCAAGAUUCUUUCCCCCGAGACUUCUGGAACUUUACUUGCGGACUUAGAGCUAGAGCACCAACACAAGUCUCUCCUGACGCUAACUUCUCUUGAAGACUUCCCACCCACUUGCAGCACUAGCAGCUUCUGGAAGUUCUGACAAUGCCCUCUUUUCUCGUAGACCUAAAAUUCAUAGUAAGGGUCCUGCUUGCUUCUUUACUUUAUAAGAUGAAACAAGGGAAUAAGAUUCAACAAACAGUAGUUGUUAUGGAGUCCUAUGAACUUUAUAUAUAAUGUUAGGCGGCAGUAAAGUCUCCUCACUUUCCUCGUACCGACAAGUCAAUCCCCUCUAUAGACUGAACUUUGAGAUCUAGAUACAAGCAACUUAACUGGAAAUCGUACUAGAAACUAUAAGGAGCGUAAGCCUUAUACACAAGCACUUUCACCUUUAUUUACUGAUUGAAACCCUUUCUGCCCUUCCUGAACUUUACUUGAGAACAGAAUACUAACGGAGCGAGGAUCUACCUGUUGCGUAAGGGCAUCUACUCAUUGCAUUGCUUCUUUGAAUUAAGUACUCGCCUAGCUGCCUUGCUUGUUUUAAGAACUCAGAUAGGCACGCACAGUUGGCCUAGUAGAGUAAUAAAAGAGUAUGCACCUAAUAAAGUAACAAUAUUCUCAACUCCUUAUGAAAUCAAUCAAAUCAAUAAAAAAGAAUAGAAGAGAGUUUUCAUCAUAUACAGUUAGCGCAAGUGCUGUUUCGGGAACUGGAAAUUCUUUUGCUGGAACUCUAUACCAUAAGGAGCUAGAGCACCAACAGCCAAGCCGACAAGCAUAUACAUAUGUAGUUGUGCGCCGGACACAGGUGAACUCUGGAUUGGACUAUUUUAUUGCCCGAACGUAGCUUGAAGAAUUGUUUGAUGCUGACUUGAGAACUUAGCUUUCUGCUUCCCUUGCCGGCCUAGACCUGACUUUAGCCUCUUCUUCUGUUUCUUCCAUUCAAGGGUCCAUUCCAUUCUGACUUUCCUACUUGCCUACUGCCACUCACAAGCUUGCUCGUACCUUAGUGCAAUUCUGUAACUCUACCUUAUUAGGUUCAUUCUGAAAUGCCAACUAGCACAAGUAAGAUAAGAGCUCCUGCCGCGACACAUUAGUAGUGUCUUGGCCUAUCCAAAUAUCUCUUCUUAUAUUAUAUGAUAGGAUGACUGAUUCCACAGCCAAUCUUCAUGAAGUUAUGGGGGCAGAGGCAGAAGAGACGGGCCCUUAUAUACUAGUUCACAGGACUUGGUCAUAACUGCUUGGAAUUCUGAGUUUAGGUAAAUCCUCUGGUAGUGACUUGGCUUGAGCUUUCUGACUUACUAGAUCAAUUCCCUUUUUGGACCGAUUGCAGCUGUCAACUAUGAACUGAUCAUUCGGUAUACCUUAUUUGUUGAUUUCUCUCUUUGCCUUUCUAGUGGUUGCUGGGCCUAUUUACUACCCCGGACCGGACAGGACAAUCAACUCUAUCUCUACAACAAGGGAAGGGACCAUAGGUAUAAUAAGUGGGCUCCACCCUAAGGUUACAGGAGGGACGAAGGAAAGGUGGUAUAGCUAAUAGUUCCUGAACUGCCUAAUUAUUCACCCUAGCCAGAGCCAGAGGAGUGGUAAAGUGGAAUUUGUAUUUGUAGUGGUAUGGUCCAGUGGGGUUGGUGCUCUAGUUCUAAGUCAUAGGGAUGGUUUUGGUAACCAAGUCCUGUCCUCGUAUAUGUCUUCUCCCCAGCAGCAACUGCUUCUUCCGUUUUCUGGAAAGCUAUAGGAAAGGAAGCAGCUUUAUUGCCUAUUCAUUUUCUUUAUGCAGGAGCCGGAUAAUAAACAGAAUCAAGAUCUUGCAGCUGGACAAAGAUUCCAUUAAUGAUUCAGAUUGUCCUCGUUGAGUAUAGAUCCACGGAGCGGUAAUCGGGGUAAUAGAAAGAUUCCAUUCUGAACUUGCAAGGAUAGGUCGGACAAGAGCAUUGGCGACCAGAUCAGAAGUUGGAUCCGAAGCCGUAGAAAGUAUUAUGCAAAAGGACCGGAGGCUGGGCGAGGAAAUGAGAGGUCGGAAAAAGAACUAGCGUUGCUAUGUCUUUACUUUUUUCUAUCUUUGGUGCUCGAAAGUAAGAACACUGCCCGUAGAUUGAGGCACCCAAUUAAUAUACAACCACUUAUGCACAAUAGUAACCGAACUCCGAACUCCCUUUUUGUUCGCCUAGUUCGAGUUGACGACUUAAGAGAAGCUAGUAAUAUUACUCCAAUUUAUCUACGAGGGUUUUGCUCUCAAUAUUAUCUGAUGCUUCUGUUCGCCCUGUUCCACUUGACUUUAGAUUUCUACCUUUUGCAAGAUGGAGCAAGAGAGAUUCUGGAACCUAUUGUAUCAUAAGCUAGAUAGAUUCCAUUCAUGAGAGAAAGCAAGGUGCUGAAAGCCAAGAAAGCCCAAACUAUUGGACGAUGGAUCGUUACACAUCUAGAAGAAGAAAAGAGGUGAAGCGGUUAAAGAACCAUAUAUUAUAUAAGCGCAUUGUUACCUCACUGCAACAAGCAAGGGCGUUAGCUAAUUCUGAGUAUUUGCGCUAAGAUCUUUUUCUUACCCGCCCGCACACGUUAGCACAACGACCCGACCUUUCUCUUUAUUGUUUAAUCAAAUAUCACUGACAUAGAAAUCUCACUGACAUUGUAUAGAAGGACGUAAACAAAUGGCUUCUUUUUAGUUAGAAUAGAGAUAUAGGGUCACUAAACAUUAAGAACGAAUUGAGGCAGCCUUACCCUAUACAUUGCACUAAAGCACAGAGUAAGCCAAACCCUUCAAAACACUAGACUAGACUAUAAGGACGGAGGCAGACUAAGCACUUGCAGAGGCGGAGUUGGCUUCAGGUAGAGAAUCAGAGAUUUGACAAUGCCCCCUGGAGUUGAGAUCAGAUCGAUAAAAAGAAGAGAAAUAUUGCUCCUAUGUUCAAUUCAUCAGAUGGGUGGGUUUCUCUUUCCAUUGAAUAGGAAUUGGAAUAGGAAUUUGCACCGAUCAACGGAACAAGACUACUGCGUUUGUGAGUUUAAACACUUAUAGAAUAAUGCACACGUAUAGAGGAAUGAAUGUAACCAAACACCCGGACUUUGAGCUACUGCCCACUAGAGCAAGGAGUAAGGAGUUCCAGAAGCCACAAGACUAAGUGUGCUAACAGGAAGUGGAGUUUGAGUUUAAGGAUAAAGGUAUACUUCAGCAGCGGAAUGGACUGGUAUAAAGUAAGUGGUAAAGAAAUGAGUAGAUUACGGGUCGGGUUGACUGCGAUGAAAGCCGUAGAUAUAAGAAUGAGUAAGCAAGAAAAGUCUCUGGAAAUGCUGUUUCUGUUAGAUGGAAAUCCUUCUUUGUUGUCGACAAUAAAAUCAGAGGUAUAGCGGUUAUAGGGCUUACUUCCGUAUUGUUAGGUUGAUCUCGCCCAGUAGAAUCAUAUGUUUCAGUUUCCAAAGCUUUAUAUGUAUCUGAAAGCGGGAACUGCUAAUGUAGCGCAGUAAGGUUCAGAAAUGACAUAAUAAGGUAUAUGAAGUGCACAUAUAAGAUUCAACAAGCAAUGCUGUCAUGCCCAUCCUCAUUUCUUUCACUCCGGGGUGGGUACCCACCUUCUACUCAACAAGUCGUUGCGCGUUCAGGAGUUUCAAAUAAUAUAAUCUGCCCUAAACAACACCUCAGCAUUAGAAAAGAGAUCUGAUUCUUUUAAAGAGAAAAUGAAAACUCACCUUCUGUCAGGAAAACAAGACGGAACUGUAAACUCUAAGUUGUAGGCUACCCUAUGAAAACUUUCUAUUGAACUUGCCUUGCCCAAACUCCACUUUCUGACUAAUACCCGAUUGUAGCUUACUUUGACACCGCUUCCGAUACUGAUCCAGUACUUUCUUCUGGGCACUGCUGAUUCUUAUGCUGGAACGAAACUUGAUACUCUACCUAGAACUCAUUAUGAUACUGAUCCCGCAUCUGCUUCACCUGACACGGAUCCUUCUCCUACUACGGAUACAGGCAUACGCAACUCUGUCUUUUUCUCCAGCAUCAUAUAUUUCUUCUGCUUCUACUUCCAACUCUCCUUUUUCCUCGCACAGGAAACCUGUCAAACACGGAAUUCCAAUCAUUCAUUUCCAUUUCACUAUCCUUACGCGCCGAAGCUUGUUUCUUGACUUUCUAUCCUUGCUUAGGCAUCCUAAGAAGUUUCUCAUUCUGUCUGAUCUGCUCUUCUUUCUUUAUACGAGAAAAACGAUACUUUGGAGUCUAUAUGUCACAUACACAAUGAAUCGAUCAACCAAGCGAACGAAACACUAUUCUAAUGAAAUAAGGCUUUGUCCGAGUACCGAUCUACAACUAAGUAGAUGUCUCACGGGCGAAGGAAUAGAGUUAGGACCGGUCUUGACUUUAGGUCGGUUGCCGUCCUGCAAACUGAGGGCGCCGUUCGCCACACACUUAAUAAAGAGUACAUCAGGAUCAGAGAAAGAGUACAUCAGGAUCUGAUUGAUGCAAGAGAUAGAUCGGCCUGCGGACCCUAUCCUUCUUCCAUACUCACUGCGAGUCCAUUGUGCUUAGAACGAGUAGAGCGUCUUCAAUGCGAGUAGUGCGUGGAGUUUAGCCUAAACAGUUAACAUAGUUGUGUUUGUACAGUGAAAUAGCGGCGUUUGUUGUUUGCCCUGCCUUCGGAAAGGCGACUCCUAAUGGUACCUUAGUUCUCCAUGGGCGUCAGAAGGGGUCGUUUAGUUCAGGCAUUCAGUAAGUUGCCGUCAAGCAGUUCUCACUCCAAGCGGGACUCUUUUCUAUGGAUUAGUGGUAAGGCGCAGGAUAAGAGAGGAUUCGUCUAUGUAAGUAGCUUACGAGCCAGUACUGUUCGUGGGCAAGCAAAGUAGAAACUCGCCAUCCAUUUCUACAGAACGUAUAAAGGUUCUGCAGGCGGGUGUGAAUUUGAAGUUUCCGGUGGGUUCCGUGUGUAUGGAAAGAAAGAUGAAUAGUUCGGUUGGCCUUGGGCGGAGAUGGAUACAGAGGUGGUUAGGCUUCUAUCCUACUAGUAGGACAUGCAGUUCUCCCCGACGCCUUAGGGCAGGCACGAAAUCAAUUAACAGCUUCUAAAGAAAGAGGACUACUUAAGACAGCAAGAACGUCCAAAAGCAGUAAGUUCACUCUCGGAACAAUUCCAAGAAAUCGAUGAAUGUGUCCCGCAACGAAGAAGCGCUAGCUUACCUAUAGAGUAUGAGGAAGGUGAAAUACUGUCUUGUGGGUCCCCAAGGGUUAGAACCUAUAACGGGAGAAUUCGCUUUCACUAUUUGAGAAAAGAGAUGAAUAGGCAGAGCUGAACAAGUACCUUCCUUCAAAGCUUUGAACUCCACUUGCGCCCGCUUCUGAUCUCAUUCCCAGUCCAAGCUCUGACUUUACCGGAUAACUCCGUGUGUGGACCAAUGGCAGAGCACUUGUGGCGUUAACCAGUAUCGCUCUCAGACUCAUAGCACUUUGUUCACCCCCAAGAAGUUAGCCGAGGCAUUAGUUGCUGAAGCUGGGGCGGAUUCCCUGAUUGACUCAUCCUUGUUUCAAAACCACCACCCAGUAUACAAGGCAUACUUGCUCACAACGAUCUCUAGCACUGUUUCAUUCUAUCCUACCCUAUACGGGCUGGCUGGGUCAAGAGUGCCUUGCCGUUGCUGUCGCCAACCACCCUAUCGGUAUCACCUAUGCUACUCAUAUCUUAUCCCUACCUUCUGGCUUCCGUACCUGAUCUGGCUUGGUCCGCCAAUAACUUAUCUUGUCCGCGACUUAACUAUCAUUAUAUUACCUUAUCCGGGGAAACAGAAUCAUGAGCGAGAUCCGAUAGAAUAAAGUAAGCGCAGCGGGAUAGAAAUUGUUAUUGAGAAAGAAAAUAAUUCAUUAUCAGAGCUAAUAGGGAGCAACAUAGAGGUUUGGAAUUUGCCAUUAAAGGAGAAAAGAGCUGCCCGUAAGCCCUAAACACUGGACUUGAACCCGAGAUACCCUAGAGAGUUGUGCGCGUGAAGGACAGAAAGGUUGCUCGGCCCUAUGCUUGAGUGGAAUUCUGAAAUUCCUUAUUGGCUGCCGACCUAUUCAAUCUAAAUGAAUUAUUAUAUAUUCUAUUAUAUUAUAGGAGAACUGAUUCCAGAUAACCGCUUCAACUCCCUUUCCUAACUUAUGAACUGGAACAGUAAGCUCCCUUUCCAUACUUGAGAACAAGAACAGGGGAAGAAGGGACUGCCGCUACACAUUAGUAGUUGCUUGGUGCCUGAAACAACUAACAACCAGCCUGAAACACCUAACUAUCAGAAUGAAACAAAGCAGACUCAGAAUCAAACUCACUCGUCACAGAACCAACCCAGUAACAACAAGCCUGACACCGGGUGCUCUCAAUUGUCAGAAUGAGACUAAGUAGUGAAAGAAUAAGACAGGGUGCCCCAACACAGGUUAACUCAGGACUUGCUCUGUACGGUUGGGUUGAAAGUGGUCUGGUCCUGUUGCAUCCGUAUUUGUUGUAUGAGUUUACAAAGGUAUGUAUAGUUGCCGAAUGAAGCAAGUCAGAGUGAAACACCUGAGUAGCAGUAAAGAGCAGCUGGUGGAAUUAUUAAGAAUGGAAUGAGUUUACUUAUAGUACUUUACUAGAGCAAGAAACAACUUAAUGGUAAGGCUCGGAGUAAGAGUAAUCAAGAAGAGAAGAAUUAGUUAACAGAGGAGAGAGAGACAAGGUCAGCUGUGGAAUCUGUAUUUGUAGUUGUAGCUAGAGGAUAGAGAUUAGCUAGUUGCAAGAGGAGAGGCGAGGAAGCUAUAAGUACUGAUGUAAUGACUUUGCUAUCCGCCAAGCAACUACUAAUGUUGCGCGGCAGCGCUGUUUCCCGGGGUUGAUGAAAAAAAGAAGAGAAAUUGACUUCGUUAGUAGGGAAAUUGGGGUCGCUAUGAAAAAAGCCGUGUUUCGUCAAAAAUGAAGUCAUUUCGGGUUCUCUAUUAAGGGGCCAAGUAACUACUAAUGUGUAGCGGCAGCCAAUAAACAGUUAUGUAGAAGUUAUGACCAAGUCCCGUUUACACCCUACUAUGUGUAUACUGAUUGGGUACUUGAAAAUGUCUUCCACUUUUCUGCUUUAUUUUUGAUUUGUUCUUUCUUGUUUGAUGGUUUCUUUAGACCUACUCUUUCCUGGUCUCUGUUUCUGUCCUAACAGUUCUCCUUCCCGUUCUUGCAACGACUAGUAGAAUGAGUUGAAUACCGAGUGGAAUCAGUUUUCAUAUAUAAGGAGAAUAUAGCAUAUAGUGGGCUUUCCUCUACUUAGUCAGUACUGAGUCAAUGGAACUAAAAACGGAACUGUCAACAACUCUCCCUGACCCUUUAGCGGAAGCCACUAAGUCUGAUCCUGCUUGUUCAAUUGAAACUCUCUUCCCGAUAGCGCCGAGUCAAGCUGGAAAACCAGGAACUCCAUUUUGAGAAUCUAUUGUUGCGGACACUUCUUCUAAUCCUUAUUCUUCUCCAGCUCUAGCCUCUGAUCCAUUGCUAUAGUGGGACAAGAAGCUAAUCCUGUUUUCUGAGGUAUGUCAAUGAUAGAUUUUCCAUGAGCUACCUUGAACAUAGGUGAAAGUUCUCCAAAAGUCCACUAUUGGAUUGGGGUGCCGCUUAUGAUUGAUUGUUUCAUGGUGCGUCGUUAGCUUAUGAGUUGGAGUUCGGACGUGAGCUUUCUUUGGAGGAGUCAGCUGUUAGCUUCAUUAAUGAAAUGACAUGAUAGGUGCACUCAACAAGUAACGGUGCAAUAAUAUAGUACGCGGCAGGGCCUAAAAGCUGUAUCGCACGCCCCUAUUCAGCAAGCAACCGAGCAAGAGCAAGCGAAGUGAGCUUAGGUAGAGCUGCAGUAAGAAGUGUUUCUUUAGGUUACUUAUUUCGAGUAGUUGUCGUGCAGAUUCCAAUAGUUCUUUGGAAGCACCUCUGUUAUCCAAGUUGACACUUUUGCGCCCUCCUUGACUGUUAUCUAAGUUGAUACUUACUCCCUAACCGUUAGCACAACGAACAAGCAAUCUUAUAGUGUUUGACUUCACUUUCCUCCUAUCCUAAUCCUGCUCUUGCUCUACCGAAGUUAAGGGAAUAAUCUUAUUAGCGUUCGUUCACUUAUAGAAGAAAGAAAGAAAGUCAACAACUUGCUAAACUCAUAUCAUGCCACCCCUUACUAACGCGAGCUCUUUCGCACAGUCCGCACAGUGGAACAUUGCUAGUUUAUAAAGCCGUUGUUCUUGUUCCCUUGCUUGUUGAGAAAGCCUAAUUUAUGGCUAUUUUGCCCGUGCCUCUCCAAGUUUCGAAUUGUUCUUGUUCCAGUUCCGCUUACGUAAGCUCUCCAUUAUACAAAGCUUGUUCCCUUGCUUAUUUACUUGGGUGCACAACUUAUGUAAGAUGGUAACAACCCUUACUCUAUUCUAUAUUAGGUAAGAUGGCUAUCUUCUUCUCUUUCUCUAUUCUAUAUUAGUAGGUAGAAAGAAUGGCUAUCUUCUUCUCUUUCGCUGUAAUGCGUGAGUUUUGGAAUUAGCAAACGAACAACCCUAGAAACUUGUGUACUACCCUUUAUUGCCGUAAUUGCCCUCUCUCUCCUCUUAUUGUUAUUGCCGUAAUUCCGUUGCUUGUUCAGGCAUUAAAGCAAGGUUAAGAACAGAAUAUCUUACUUACUUUGAAGCGCUAACAGAAGGAGUGGAAAGCGUUAUAUAAGUUAGCGCAAGAACCAGUAGAACUCAAUAAGCGUAGCUCUGAAUACGAGUGAAGUUCGCCUGAAUGCUACGUUAGUGAGAUGAGAGAGCUUUUGAGAAAGCAAUGUAGCUCUGGUAAAUAAUAGGGAUAUUUAGUGUUUCGCAAUUAGGAGUUAACUUGAACUGGCCUACCCGCGAGCGGGCUACUUGGCUUCCCCUUUCCUUUCGUAACUCGCAACAAACAAGAAAUGGACUAGCUUAGGCUUCUUCCCUAGCGCUUGUUGCUAGCCUUACCAAUAUGGAGGAAGAACGUCAACAAACAGCUUAGUUUCCGUCAAAACUCUAUCACUAAGGCACUUUUACUUUGGCGAACUCUACCACUUAUUACUGAACGAACUCAAUUCUACCACUUAUUGCCCUAGUUUGCGCUGUUCAUAAUACGGAGUCUUUGCGCUCUUCCCUUGUUUGCUUUGUGGAAUUGAAGAAUUGCAUUUAAAGCACAACUCUCAUAUAAGUUGUCAAAGAAUCUAACUCGUAUAACUAAACUAAUAUGGAAUAAUGUAACCUAACUACCUACUCCUGGCUAAACUCAUGGCUCAGAACUCACAUUAGCACAAGAAAUUCGCUUAUGCAAGCAAGCAGUGGUUCACUCCCUAACGCACUUGUUUACCCGUUCUUGCACCGUUUGCGUGCUCAUUUGCCUAAAGCUUUUGUUAUCUACCCAACUGACCUGUGUUUUAAUUGAAUUAUCGAGCACAUGCUAUAAUGAAGUAGUAACCUCUCACUCGGAAACUCCAAUCACUCUGAAACUCCAAUAAGCUAAGGUGGCUUCCGCCUUACAAGAGUUUUUGUUUCAUCUUUGCGCUGUUCCUAGGUUAAGAUAUUCUAUUGUUGCACUCAAUUCCAUGCUUUUCUGAAAUCAAUCAGUUUGUUAUUUAAAGCUAUGCUAUGGUUGGGGACUUAGCUCUAAGCUAUGCUAUGGUUGGGGACUUAGCUCUAUAUGAUGUCUUACUUAUGAAUUCCAAAUUCCAUUCUUUAUACGAUAGAAACAGGAACAGAAAGAGAAAUCCGUACACCACGCUGAAGAAGGUCGGGCAAUUCUCUAAGUCAGAGGGCAAUAAAUCAGGCUUAUAUUUCUCGUUGUUUAAGACAGGGUAAACUCUGCUAAUAAUGGCUAAUCACUUCUUGAAAGACCUCUACUUACCCCUAAAGGCCCUUCUUUUAUUGUAUUUUAGCCUAAACGAGACCACUUAUUUAUUGGAGUUGCUAGCUGGGUGCCCAGCGGAGUUCAACAAGUCAGGAGUCAGGAGUGUUUUGUUAAUCCCCGAAAGUAAUAGGUGUAGAGUUACUUUAUUACAUGAUAGGUGCACGUCAAUACAAGCAAGUGGAACUCCCUAACGCCAACGACAAAAAAAGGAACUCCCCGAAACGAAACGACAACACUAGAUCUAACGGAACUCUUUGGACUACAACUAACUCGGUGUUGGCUGAUGAAGGCUUCUGAAACGUCGUGUAUAGCCUGUUAACUAACUACCCUAAAAAGAGAGACCCUCAUAGAAACUCAGCAACUAGCCUUCCAAUGCAUUUAAGCCUAAUAACAUUUACCUGAGAGUAAGGAAAUGUGUAACGUUCCAUUCUCUUCUUAAGUAAAAGGGGUGCCGACAUUAGUUUUGAAAGCAAUGCUAUGGUUGGUUACUGUCUUCUAUAAGUGGAUAGCGCUAUCCCUGAAUUUAGUAAUAACACAGAACAAGCAAACAUGGAUACGCGGGAGCUUACUUUCAUAAAGAAAACGAAGGCUUGUGGAGUGACUUGUAGCUUUCGAAAGGCCCGGUUCUCUUGCGCAUACAUAUAAGAGAUUCUGAUUUGAGUGCUUUAGCUCUAAAUGGGAAUGGAAUCCAUUACUACCACUAGAACCUUGCUUCUGAGUUGUUCUCCUAGCCCGGUAUCUUUACUUAAUACUUGUCUUAGUCGUUAGUGCAACACUGAAAACUCCCGUUAGCGAGUCUCGAGUUGCUUGUUAAGAAACAGAAGAAAGACGACAAGAAGAUAAUAGGUAAGAGGAAUCCAUCCCACUAAGAUGUAUAGGAAUGACACUAAAAGGUAGGAUCUGUCCUGUGUGAGCCCUUACUACUUGCCUACUUCCACUCAAGCUUGCAACAAACACAGAUGAAACGAGCCCUUACUACUUGCCUACUUCCACUCAAGCUUGCAACAAACACAGAGGAAACCGGGGAUGCAACAACUAAUUCAGGGGAUGACACUCUGAAUCUAUUGGUGGGGAAAGAGGUGCUUCUUCAGCCCUAAGUCAGGUAGGCUCAACCGGAAAGAGAGAUCAGUCUAUACCUUAAGCCCUAAGUCAAUGAGUUGCACCCGUUUAGUGAUUGUAUUCAUCAGCUUACAGAGUUGAGUUAAGAAUUCACUUUCUUGCUCUUUCAUUCCUUGUUUCUCUUGCGAGAUGGGUGAUUUAUUGGUGCUUUUGUUGCGAUUAGUGAAUGGAAUGGGCCGGGCCUGAUUGCCCUUACUUAUAUUACUGUCUGCAGCUACGUUACUUUUCUACUUCUCUGCUUGUCUACCGAACACAGCUUCCCGUUCUUUAUAAGGUUAGCUUGGCCCCUUUCGACUACGGAUGGAGCUCCAGGUGCUACUACUAAGGGGAAUCGGCGUAGUAGUGACUCUUCCGAAAAGGUGGAAAACUUAAGGAGGACUGUUGCUUCCAAUCCAAUAACAUAGUAUAGUUUCUAUAGAGAAUCAAGAGUAUAGUUUAUAUAGAGCCUUUCACCGACAUUCUAUAUUCAAUCUAUGAUGAGGGGAGGGGUUUAGUUAAAACGAGUACAGUUAAUCAAUUUACACGAUGGGUCAAUAAAUGUAAGUCACCUAGAGAAGGAAGAGUGGUGGAACCCCCUCAUGUAUCAGAUGCCCAUUAUAGACUCGCCCCCCCUAGCGUUUUCUAACUUGAUAUUGAAUGACCUGCAAAAGCCAAAUAAAUGCUAUUGUGAAACCGAUAACUCGAUGGCAGACGGAGCAGCAGCCUUACAUCCAUAGGCGAAUCCGCUCCCGUGCAGACGACGGUAUGCUUAACAAUAAGUUCAUUGAGAUACCAUGAGAAUUACCAAUACCUAUAUAUAACAAUAAUUACCAAUACCGAUAUAACAAUAAUGGAGAUACCAUGAGAAUUACCAAUACCGAUAUAACAAUAAGUUCAUUGAGAUAUCAUUAUACAUACCCAUCUCGAAAACCUGGGCCCAGCUACUUAGGGUUCGUCGAGGUUUAGUGCUGUAGAUAGAGUUGUUGAAUCCCGUGGGACAAGGCCUAUUAGGCUUAACGAUUGGAGCUAGACCUGUAAACUUAACUGAACGAAGUGGUAAAACCACCUUAUCUUUAUUCUAGGUCUAUACCCACUUACCCUCCUUUAAUAGCUUUCCGCUUACUCUAAAGGUACUUUGUUUCUGUGCCCCUGGUGUAAAUGAAACUACACCGCCCGAACACAGUAAAUGAAACUACACCGCCCACUAACCAUCUGGUAAGAAGGAGAUUCCGCUUCCUUCCAAGCCCACUAGGAAUAGAGUCCAAAUGCCUUAUACUACUAGGAAUAGAGUCCAAAUGCCUUAUACUAUAUAUUAGAAGUAAAGUAUAUUCUCAAUCUUAGAUGAGUAUCGCAGCAUUGAAAGCGGUAGACUGGUGCUUAUAUCCCGUGAAGCACGAGAGCCUACCUUCUCUGGCAUUCACUAUAAGGCUCCAGAGUCAAUCAUCUAGGAUAAGAAAAGAGAAAGGUUUUUCAUAAAAACAAAACAUAUUCUAUGACUCUUUCCUUUCAAUCGUAAUAUGUAGCUCUUGGGGAGAAAACUCCUGAUACAGUAAACUACUGCUAGCGAGGAAGGGAAUGGGAAGUGGAAAAAGGAUAAGCAAACAGCACUGCAAAGCUGCAUGAGGAUUUCGCGCACUAAGCAGAGUCUUAUAGGCCCUAGCGCGCAGAGCAAUAGUCAGCUACUUUGCUCGAUAAGAAGAAAGACGCUCUCUCUGGUUCUCUCUGGGUCUUAUUCUCUUACAUAAGAAGAAAGACGCUCUCUCUGGGUCUUAUUCUCUUACAUUACAACCGCCCUUGCCACCUCUACUUCUCUAAGAGCAAUAACAAGCUUCAUGUCUAGUGUGAAAUUGGAUCAUGAUUGGUUGAGUCUUUCUUUUAUGGAAAGUUGAUACUCCUCAUUUUGGUCCCCGAAACUCUAAUUUGGAUAAGCCAAGGUUUUCAACAAAAAGAACAACUUUGAAUUGUCUGGGGGCAACCUCUAUUCAAUAGCUUCUAGCUAAGCUGUGAUCUUAUUCCUUUUUUGACUUGGGAUAUUAAGUAAAAUCAGAACUCAUUGGCAAACCAACCAUCUUGGCUAUAUCAUUUCCCGCCCUAUCCACCCCAUAUUAGUUAACAGAUCCAGAGAGUUAGUUAUUAGUUAACAGAUCCAGAGAGUUAGUUGGCGUACCCACAAUGGAAUUACCUGAGCAAGCCUAACCGUACUCUUACUCAUACAGCUCGGGCCUGGCAUAUUCGCAGUACGAGUUUCCCGGUCUAUUUCACUAACUGAAGCUAACCGGGAUCGAAAGCUUUCUUCUCAUGCGGCUCUUGGAUCGAAAAGAGGCUGCUGGACCAAGGCUUCAACUGCCUGGCACGGACGAGCUAGCUGGGCUAAUAGAAUAAUAUCUUACAGGCUUGCUUUGAAGCGCAUCAAUAAGUCAAAAGGAGAUGAGUGUUCGGUCAAGUGUCAAGUGAGGGUUCAGGGCAGAACAUAUGGCGUAGCAGUUAAGGUCAGGGGCAUCAUCCAGUAAAGUUGAAGCGCGUAGUCAAUCAGUAUCAGGGUUCAAUUCAAGUAGACCAGAGAUAGAGGUUAGAGUUCAGUCGACGAGAGAAUCUGAAUCCACCAGUUCCAGAAGAAUAAGUGGACUGAUCUUAUGCAGGUAAAGAAGAAGGAAUGUAUACAAGAGAAUCUGUUGCCCACGGUGCAAAGGAAAGGGAUGCUAUGUAUCUUGACUCAUAUUUAUAUACCAACAAUGUGCUUAAUAUCAAUAUAACCUUUUGAAGCUUCACCCGAUCCCUAUACCUUUGCCUAAGCCUUUGCAUCCGACUUACCCUAACCUUAAUGCUUGACUUUCCCUUUACCCUUGUAGUGGUCGACCAUAGGAACUUAUGAUACACACCACUUCUUGUCUGUGCUUUGAUUAUAGGGUUAUCGCCCAGCCAGCUCUUGAACAUGGGCAUAGGUUAAACGACUCGAAAGUAAGGGUCUAAAGGUACAAAUAUAUUCCUUCUUCCGCUUCUGUAUCAGGUUCUAGUGUUGUUGGUUAAGAAAUACUGUAUUGUUCGGAUAGCCCCCACGUAGCAGUUCUUCAAGUAGAGUUUCAAAGGAAGCUACAAGUGAAGUUGAUUCAGCAAAGUAGAGUUCUCGGGGCAGAAUCAAUUCCUUCCUGAACUUCAAGUCGAGGUCGGAAAAACGAAAUAAGAUAAUACUGGCCGAUUAAGGGCAGCAAGUGGUUCUGUUCUAGGCUUUGUCGUGGAAAGAGGUAAUUGUGCUUGUGUAUAAAGGCGAGUGCUGCUCCCGAAACCAACCAGUACUUUCCCGUCUUUUCAUGAACCCUAUCUUGACUUACCCGAAACAAUACUUCAACAGUCAAAUCUUCUUUCGAGGCGGGCUCAAACCCUUCCCUUCUUUUCGAGUACUUAGUUAGCGGGCUGUAAACAAACCCUUAUCCAUAGCUUAGAGUUCGUUCGACAAAUAAGUCACCUCACGUCACGGCCUGAUGCCAAUAUUCUUAAAGGAAGCAAGCUGUGUUAGGUAUGGAAGGGAGUCUACUAUUCUUAGCUUAGAUACUCGGAUGGCAGCGGGGUAAUAGUAAGGUGAAGGUAAGGCGGAGGCAAAGGCAGAAUGAUUCUGAUUCUCUUUACUACUUUCCUGUCAACCCAUCUUUCGAACACACAAGGACUUCCUGAAGGCUAUAAAGAAAGUAAGGGCAAAAAAAGUAUACCUUUGAGCAUCGUUUAAGCUAGGGGAAACUCAUCUUCUAGGGCUAAUUACCUUGCAGCUAUAAGGGCUCCUCUAGUUCAUUUGAGCCUAAGAACAUUGAAGUAGCACCCAACCUCCACUCCAAUCCAAUAAGUUAACGCGCAAGGGCGAAGAAGGUAAAGUCAAGGGUAUAUAAAGGUAAGGAUUACAUGGCAAAAAAGCAUUUGUAGCAGGGGGGCUGGGGUGUUUUCUUAGAACAGAGGGCAUCAAAGCCAGUCGACGGAGACGAACAGAUGCAGAAAGGACUCCAUUAGAACUCCUUUUCUUCCACAAGAACAGAACUACUAAGAGCUACAGCAGGCCUCAACUGUACAAGAGGGCUUAAGAGGAGCGGGGUCACCUCUGACUCUUCUUACUCGGAUUACCGCGUUCCAUACUCAACACCUAUAUUUAGAUACUCCACCUUUCCCACGGGCAACUUACCUAUUUGUUGAACCGCUCACUCCAAAGCGAACUGCUCACUCUAUUACCCCACGUAGCUGAGCUGUAAGGCCAGAAUCUAGUACAGUACUGGCUUUGAAGCGCUAAGUCACUGAUAGCUCUGAUUCAACCACUCCGGUCCCUCAGUCUACCUUUCCUACCUAAAAUCUACAUUGAACCUAUUAGCCUACCUUUAUGAACUAGAAUUAUGACUAGAACCUUGUCUCGACCUGUCCUUCUUAUCUAUUAGUCUUCCUUUGCCGGCUACCAAUCAUAUUCCUCACUACUGAAACGAAUCUCCUUACUUAUCCAAUUGAGUAUACCUUCCCUGCUCGAGGUUUGCCAUUGCUUUGUAUCAUUCUAUAACUACUAGUUUUACCAGCUACCAGCCUUGCUCUACUUCUUUUCAGGAUCCAAAUACCGUCUUAUAAGAUUGAAAUACCGUCUUAUAAGAUAUAACUAAGAUAUAACACUCUUAUUAUCAGAGUUGUACUUAUUUAUAUGGAUUUACUAUUCAGCCGACUAAGACAACAACUAGUAAACUAAUCAGAAUCCGCCUACGACUUAUGAGAACUAAGCUAGAAACUGAGCCUUUAUCCCUUGAACUCGAGUCAAACCUCCUCUCAUUCCCUAACAGCUGAUCCGGAUCCUAGCUAUAUUGCCUAUGAACCUGUCCUAUGAGCCUGCCUUGCCCCACUUGCAUUUCUUUAGCUAAUGAUCUCGAACCUUUGAUCUAUCCGCUUAUUUGAAGUCUGCAGCUACUGGUUCUCAUUCUUUGAUGAUGAGCUGUGAGACUAGGAUCGAGUACUAAUUAGGAUCUAUAGUACUAAUAUAGUGUAUCGUCCAGGGUUAGCGCAUCUAUUAAUAGUAAUCAAAACUGUAAACCAAGCCUUAUUCACCGGCGGCCAAGCCCUUACUUAUUAAUUAAUUGAACUCGCCAAGCAACCCUACUAGCUCUGGGACUUGAACUCAUGCCUUACAAGCCGCGGCUCUAAAGCCUUAGCAGUCAGGAGAGUUUACUGUAGCCUGUACAUUGCUUGGCUGUAGUUUGUAGUCGUUACUUUUCUCUUUUCAUUAUUGAUUUGCUUCUUCUACUUGCUACUCAUAUCCGGACUUUUGAGUAUAUUGGCUUCUCCUCUGCUGCACACACGCCCAUAUUCUUUUACUAAUGUAUUGAGUCAAUGCUCAUUCUGGUACUAGUGGAUUGAGUGCGGGUGCUCACCACCCUAAGUAUGAUAAUGUCCUAGAGCGUACCACCCUACCUUCCACUAUUAGGCUUAAAGCUCCAUAUUUGUAGUAUUAGUUGACUUAGAAUAGAAGGCUGACUUACUUGUUUGAUUAUAGUUAUCAGUGGUUGUAUUGAAAGAAGCAAGUAGGAGACUUAAAGCGAGUAAGGGCAGCGUCAGCUGCCUGUUAGUAUUUGCAUAUAGGCUUUUCCUAGUCUUCUAUUCUAUGGUGCGCUAUUUCCGUCUGUUAGGCAUUGGUUUGACUCCGUAUCAGCGUUUGGAUUCCCAGCUAGUGGGUGAAGUCUAAUAAGUAUCAGCUCCAUUCUAGUUAGUAUUGGUUCAUCUUAGUAUCGGUAAUGGAAGCACUAGCUUUGGUUUCAAAGCAAGUCAAGCCAGCCUCUAUCUCGGGCAUAGUAGGCAUUGAUGAGUUAAUAACAUAGUAGGCAUAGGAUUACAGUUGCUUGUUUCAGUCCAGUUAACCCAGGUGCUACUCUUUGUAUAGGUAGUGAAAACCUAGUCAUACUCUUUGUAUUGGUAGUUAAAGCCUUAGCCCCUUAGUGAAAAUCUGUAUAUUCUAUUUCAAUGUCUUAGAGCUUAGCCUAGCCCGGUAUCCCUACUUCUUUGUUCGAUUCCGACUUGUGAGUUGUUUUCUUACUACUUAUUUUCAUUCUUGGUUAUUUGUGGGGAGUUCCCAUUCCCGUACUACUUAUUUCCAUCCUGUAGUUAACUACUAUUCGACUUGCCUUUAUUAGUAGAAGAACCUCCCCAGUGGGUUCCAAGCCAAGCCCUAUUCUAUGCCUCAGCUGCCCUUGUCUAUAUCGAUGUUCGAGCCUUACUUAUUAAUUGGAAUAUGACUUCCCGGCUAUCAGUACGAAAUCCCUAUUAUCAGACUGCACCCAAUAACAAUACAAUAAGAGAAUUGAGCUCACAAAAGAAAGACUAGACUUACUUGAAAACUUGAUCUGUGCUUUCUAGAGCCCAUUGCUUUAUCUCAUUCUCACCACCCAUAGGAAAGUCUGCCUUCGACUUCUUGGAUUCCCUCUCGCAUAUCAAUAAGAGUUGUCAAGUGCCGGUGCUUCUGAAAGUGCUGUGUUCGCCUAUUAUUGAUAUCAGUGGUGACUUGUCCAUUAGUUGUAGUUUGGCUAGUAGUUACUUUGCCCUGUGUUUUGGGCCUGUGUUCUAGGCCUUGUCUAUCCGUUCCUUGGCUCAUAGCAAAUAGAUAAAGUGGUCGACUCUCCUGCUGAAGCUUAUUGGUAAGAAAACUACAUAAGUGAUGUUUCGGUCAUAUAGGUCAGAUGAGUGCAAUUCAGAGUCCCCGAACACAGGACUUAGUUGGAGGCCAGGAAGCUAUAAGUACAGAGAAGUUCAGUAAAAGUAUCUUUCCGGAAGUUCACCAGGUAAUUAUGCUGCCUCAGAUCUAGUAUUGAGCUCCCCAGCCGCGUAACCGAACACAGGACAAUGAAGCAAGUCAUAAUCUUAGAAUGCAGUUUCAGAGUUGAAGUUAGUUUGAACCUCUAGGUUGCGGUAAAUCAGGGUAGUAAUGAAUUCUUUCCCCAUUAGUAGUAGAAAUCUUACCGGUAGUACUGCUCUGGUUCUUGUUGACGAACAAAGGACUCGCUUCUAACUCAUACUAACAUCGGCUAGACAGUUGAAAACAUUCCUUCCAAAGAAAGAACACAGGACCACUGACUUAAGGCUUACUACUAACUAGUUCCACUCUUUCUUCUCUGGUCAACAGUAGCAUUCUUUCUAUCUUAUAUAGGAGCCCCGGUGAGCAACUGUAGGAGUGAGUUCAAAACAUCUAGUAAAGCGUGACUUGCGUGAAGCAAUGCAAGUGGAGCAAUUAUUUCUUCUAGGCCUUUGAUGCGAGGUAUAGGUCUACUUCAGACUAGUCUCUUUCUAGUGGUUGUCUUAGAGAGAGGAAGCCAAGCCCCCCUUAGAGCGAGAAAUCUCUUGCUUUUACUUGGAAAGAAGCCUUCUUGCCUGAACUGAACCUAUCUUCUUCAUCGCCUCGCCCAGCUGCUAUUCCUUUUGAACUUGACUUUCUACCUUUCUUGUCAACGAGAUCUGAACCUGGAGCAGGAAAUGAUGUAUCUGUUCGAGGUGAGGAGUAGAGAGAAGAAACUUGAUAAGGGGCUUGAGCAAGAGAUGGAUCUGAAUCCGGAUCCUCAGCUGUGCCAAAGUAAGCUGCUGUUAGAGUGGAGAUUGGAAAAAGAAAAGAAGAAAGUACUUGCUUUGAAGCGAGCUAAAGGAGCGUCAGAAUGAUAGUAAAGAAAGUAAGCCUCAAAGUCAGGGUACAGCAAGAAUAGUCUAAGGGUGGGGAAGGGAGGCAGCUUUUAGGUCAGCAGCGAAAGUUCUAUUUAUAAGAACGAGUAUUGUUGGCAUUGGGUUCGGUCUUGCUUUUGCUUAUCGAGUUCUAUAUUAUAAGUUGGGGUACGAGGUUCUACUCUGCAUCUCCCUUGUUGGAUUCCUUGAGUUAGUAGUGACUUUGCGGGUUCUACUACUGGUUUUGCUUGUCUGCUUGGCUGUUUCGGGUGCGCCUUAAUAUUUAGUUGUUGAUUCAGAAAAUAGAGUUCUAGAUUCAAUACGAGUGCCAUAAGAAUCAUCAUAAGGUGGCUGGGUAAAUACUCAAAUCUAUACUUGGUGCUUUAUGGAUGUCAUUUCAUUCUUCCACUUUGACUUUAAGGGAGAGGUGGGGAAAGAAAAGAAUCAAAGGUCAUAGAGAUGGGGAAGCUGUGGUAUUUACUGAUUUCUAUACACCGCGGAAGAAGGAUCAGAUGCUUUAUCUGGAUCUGCUGCUGUUAGGUAUAUUGGUUUUGUCUCAAGUAAUAGGUCGGCAAAAGAAACGAAAGAUGUAAUUAAUCCUUUGACUUGUUCGGUUGGUUAAAGAAUGGUUUAUUUGGCUUGCACCUGUUGCUCGGCCAGUUCCAGUUCAUGUUUAAGAAAAGCGGUUCAGAGAAUAAAGAAAGGGAAAUGAAGCUAAUGCGGUUCGAAUGCAUGGAACGAAACUCAAACUUGAACUCAAGCCCUCGCACUUAACCUCCAAAAAGGGAACUGGAUGAAUGGGAGAACUAGCUAGCCUCUAUUCUUAGGACCAUUCCAUUGAACCUAGUAUAAUAAUGAAUCUUUCACUUAUAGGGCACAUUCCACCUCUUCACGUACCAGAUGCUUUAAACAUUCCAUUCUUGGCGCUUUAUUUACUAAUUUCCAGUUUCAAUGAAGUCUUUGAUUCGGCAAAGAAGUAAGCAUAGAGGAGAUUGGUCAAGCCCACGCAUCCGUUAAAGUGCUUGAGUAGUAUCGUCUCCGGGCUAUCAAAAACGAAGACGAUUACCCAGCCUCUGAAGGUCUUCGCCCAUUGCACCGGUAAGAUCUGAACAUAGCUUAUGUCGAGCUUACCCACCUUUCCGAAGAGAUUAGAUUGUUGCAAAAGCCAUUGCUUGAAGGCCAUGAAGUUGUAGAGAGGGUAGCAAGUAGUCGUCCUGUUUCAAAAGAGACUGUUCGAGUGAUAGGAAUUGUGAGCCUACCUUUAAGGAUUGCUAGUAGAAGUAUAAGACUCAGAAUGGAACUAAGUAGUAACAGUAGAGGCCUAUAUACGAAGUUUCGGGCUUUCCCCUUGUAUACGAGUUAGGCUCGGGUGCUUGUGUUAAGCAAUGAUACAAUCUAUCUCUUUUGUAGGCUUGUCCCCUACUUAAUUCAUGAUUAUCUUAUUAAGGAUUGAGUUUCGAAAGAGAGAAGUGCUGUGUUCGUGACCUAAGUAGUAAGGAAACCAGUAAGUAUCGGCUUUGAAGCAGAAACGCUGUUACUGUAGCGAUGGGUAUCUGUCUUCUUACUCUGUUCCGUAUCCAACUCCUGUUCCUUAUCUUUAUUAGACUAAUGUAAGUCAGCAGCCCUAUAUGGUGUUGUAGACGAGAGAAGAUCUGAACCAGUGUGGUAUCAGUGCAAGCUUGAAAAGACAUAAUGACCAACUCAGUAAGCGCCUUUUGCCAAGCAGGACUCCUUUUUGCCUGGUAGAAUCCUUUGAGUAGGGACAAAAACUGGAGUAGUAAGUUACUUCACACUGUAUUAGUACUAAGAGCCAAGCCGACAAGAUGGAGCCUCUGGCUAAUGAUUCUGUUCCUGCCUUCGAUACUGACUUCCUUGAUCCAGCAUCUAAUGAUCCAUCUUAGACUUCUGCUCUUGCUCCUGUUUCUGCUCCACCGAAGUGUUGUGCAGAAUCGAGUGUACUGGUUUUUAAGCGAGUAGUCACUUAUCUCCUUGCCUAGUAGUAGCUUGGCCCCCGCGAAAAGGGCUGUUUUUGCUUCACUCUUUUCCUUCUCUUGCUUCGGUAUCAAAGCCUUUACUCUUUUCAUUCUUAUUUAUAGAAGUAGAGAGGUAGGGUUUCUAGAAGUAUAGAGGUCGGGUCAGGUGCUAGUGUUUCAUGAGAAGGGAGUGGUGAGUUACUUACUUAACUGACUUCAAAGCGGCUUCCCAUGGCUGCUAUUCCUACAGCACAGUCUUUGAUUCUCCCAAUUCCCCGUUUCAGUCUUAAAAGAAAGUACAAGUUUGAUUCCCGGUUCAAAGCGAUAGUCCUGUUAGCUACAGUUCCAUUUUCUAUUCUUGUAUUAUUACUUAUAGUGAGUAGCGGAAGAGUGAAUGGUGAACAUAGGUAUUGAAGGCAAGGUCCUAGCGAGGCCAUAUUUGAUAUAAUUAACUACAGAAUUGAGUCAUGGAUAAAAAGAUUAGAAUAAAGGCGCAAGGACAGCUUUGAAGUAAGUAAAGCAAUGUAAGUUUGCAAAUCCGUAGUUAAGGAAUAAAAGCUAGGUUCUAGUACACUGCUGCUGGGGCUGCUACUGGUGUUGCUAAGGCUUCAACCCGUACUGCUCGGACUGAUCUGUUAGGUACUAAGAGGUGAGCUAGAGAGGUGAGCUAGCCCUUAUUAGCAAGUAAGCCUACCAAUCCGUAGUUAAAGAGUUGAACUAAGAGGUGAGCUAGUACAUCCGGUUGCUAUUCCCACAUCUGUUAUUGAACAACCAGUCUUAACCCAGUGCCAGCAAGACUGAACCGAGGUAGUUCCGGACUAAGACAACAGCUACUCGGGCUACAACCAGUGCUUCCAAGCCUGCAGCUAAGGAGUGAUAGGCUUCAACCGGUGCAUCUAAGAAUCAACCCAGUAUAACUCAGAAUUGACCUAAGCAAUCUAAGACAGGUCUUCACUCCGAUGUCACUAUUACUAUCCAUCCGGUCUGCUUCAAGGAAAAGAGGUAGGGACAAGCUACUACUACCAAUUACUAGGCUCAGAAUGCAACCACUACAAAUAAGGAUGAAACCAGCGAGUGAAAGAGUGAAACCAGUCAAUCAAUACAAGACACCCACUAGUGCUAACAAGAACGAAACAACUAACAACAAGAAUCCAACUAGUAGGCAUCAGACUGCACCGAGGGAGUUACAGGCUCUAUCUAAUGUUGCCUAGGAAGGGAGAGCGGGGGAGGUCAGAAUCCAACUCAGUAGUAUAAGAAUGAAACGAGUUUAAUAAAGUGAGAAUGAAAGUGAACCGGAGGAGUCUAAUGGGGGGUUAAGCGUGGGCAAACACCUCUUCUUUUAGCGCCAACCUCUAUUGCUUCUUAAGUGGGUUUCAAGGAACAGUAGGCUUAGUCUCUUUCUCACCUCUAAUGAAACUAGCUAAGCUAUAGGGCAGUCAAGUUGGCAAUCUCUCAAUAUGAGAAUUCUCUUACUAUGCGGAUAACAGGAGCGCCACUCAGUAGCCCAUAAAGUCAGGGGCUUGGAAGCGAGGGUUGAGGUCAGUAAAGGAAGUCUGAUUUCUUUGUUUGACUCUUUCCGGUAUUUUGGUUGAAUUCUGCUAGCAAGCCAGUAUAGUUAGAUCCCCAUUUAUGAGUUCUCAUAUAAGGUCAGGUUCCUGGGCGUUAUUCUAUUCCGAUUGUCGGUUAGUUAAGCCUGAGUUCCCAGUGAAGGUCUCUUAGUGCGCUGCGCAGUUUGACUCUUUGACUUUGCUUGGUCGAUCCUUGUUUGCUAUUGAAUUCCGUUCUUCAAUCAAUGUCUCCUUAGUUCUCUUACUUUGUCCUUAGUUCUCUUACUUAGUAGUUGGAUUCCCUGAUACGCCUACUUAUUCUUGGACUGCUGACGUUGAUUCUUACUUGAGAGUUGGAUACCCAUCAGUAGUGGUUACUUUGCUUAUGGGGGCGGUGUCGCAUUCCCAGUUAGGAGUUGUCCUAUAAGCACCAGUUUUAGUCUAAGCCGGCGGGGGGGCAGUAAGUAAGGCUCCAAAGUCUGUGUUGCAGAAAUAAAGUAAGGCAAGGUAGGCUCAUAAGCGAUAGUGAUAGAAUGAAAGUAUGGGUGGCAUAAGAAAGAAAGAACGAACCGAGACUUGGGCUGCUCUUUUCCUAUUAGUAGAUGCACUAUAUCGUCCCCGUAUUCUACUUAUACUUAGUUUGUUUCUAUGUCCUACUACUUUUGAUUAUUACUGGUAUUCUUUUAUACCUAUACCAUUUCCCUAGAUUGUAGAAUCAGAUAAAGCAACGUCAAUUUGAAACAAUAGGAUAGGAAUGAAGGUCUGCAGUCGCAGGCCUAGAGACAGGGAUAUCCGUUUUUAAGUCAGCAGCAUAAGAAUCCAAGUGAGUAGUUAAGGGAUGGAAGCAAGUAAGGGAAGCUCAUAGGCAAUAAAGUCAAGUCGGAGUCAGUGGCCGCAGGGGGCAGCCUUAGUUCCUAGUAUAGGUCUUUGUGGUAAUAGGUUCCCAUUCCUUUUAUCGAUAGUUGGUUUCCCAGUUUCUUGUUAUAGUCUCUUAAUAGUGGUGUCAAUUCUGCAUUCUGAAGUUCCGUCUUGUGAAGGUCGCUUCUAUGUUCUAUUGCCCGCCAAGCAACAACUAUAGUUUCUGUAAGCAGUUAGAUUACCAGCGGAGUUUCAUUCUUAACUACUUGUGAGAUACAGAGUACUAGGUGGGUGAGAAAGAGAUCAGUAAAUUCUGACCUUAGAGUGGAAUUCUGUAUUGAAUGAAAUUAGGACUUACCAGUAGUUGUGUUGCGGUAAGUUAGUAUAUUGAAGUUCAAGAGGUCUUUCUUCUUAGAGGAUCGGAGUAGUCUUAGUAGUCUUCUUUGUCUUAUACUUAUUAGUCUAAUGCACUAGAUCAGGACAAUUAGUUGACCUAUAGCCACCGAGAAUGGAGCUGCUAAGCGAUAGAACGAAACAAGGUAGUUACAGAAUCGAACCAGUCUGUAUCAGAAUGGAGCUAAGUUGACUCAGACUUCACCCUUGCCCACAGAUUGCCCGCAUCUAUAGUAUAAGAUCCAUUGGUAUCAAUUCCCCGCUGCUAGUACUAGCUUGGUAGUUAACAGAGGAGAGGUCAGCAGACAAUAAGAAUGGCCCGCGAGUCGAGGUAGUCCAGGUCGAGGUCAAGUGGAAAGUUACGUUCUUUUGAGCAACAGUAGGAGUGAGGCCAAGGAAAAGAGGUUCAAUUAUGAGUGGAGAGAAAGAGGUGCGGGUUGGUAAAGAAUCAUAUAGAUCAGAGGCUAGAUCCGAGGAGAGAGAGUCAAGGGAAUCAAAGAAAUGAUCAAAACAAUUAAAUGAAUCAAUUUCACAAAUCACAAAUAAUCCAGAAAACUAGUGAGAAAUGACUUGGAUUUCUCAUAUACUCACUAAGUAGACACUCAGUAGCUUUAAACAUAUAUUGUAAUAGAAAGAGUGGAGCGGCCCCAAAAGCAUCUAUUGUAAUAACUUGUAAUAUAUGUUACUAUUGCUACCGCCCAACGUCUUGCGCCGCCUAAAACUCACUGCCGCGCCACGUUAGUAGUGUCUUGGCGGUCGUUAGUAGUUGCUUGGCCGUUAUAACUGUUUAUUGGCUGCCGCUAUUAUAGCUCGCUGACGCGACAGCGAACACAUAGCUAGUAAUAACAGUUUAUAACUUACUAUUGUUGUUACUGCCGCACAACGGCUUGCGCCGUUGCUUGGCGUCUAGUAGUUACUUGGCCACUGCCGCUACACAUUAGUAGUUACUUGUCCCAUAGAAAUUCUAUCUGUUAUUAUUAAAGAUAGCGUUUAGAAAGAUCUUCUUAUUAAAGAGAAAGUGGAAGCGUCCUAGGUUGAGAACGAGGGAAGAAUGCUUUAUACCAUUAUACCACUAUCAGAAAGGAACGAGCCGACGCCAAACACAUAAUAAACAAAUCAAAACUAAUCACUAUAAUCAGAUGGAAUGAAAGGUGGACCAUUGCCCGUGCCCUUGAUUAAUGCCCUGAAGAUAUAGGCUUUAAAUGAAUUUAUUGAACGAGUAAGAGAAGUAGAUGAGCAAGAGUUAGAUGAGACAGAGUUAGAUGAGAUGGAUCAGAGGAAAGAGUAGGUCUAAAGAAAUGAGAAAAACCACUUUGAUUUCUUAUGUACCUACUAACUACACAAACAGUAGCCAAAAAGCACUAUCCAAAUAUCUCUCCUUAUUAAGGAUUGAGUUUCGAGAAAGAUCUUCUUAUUUAUUUUAUUAAAGAGAAAGUUGAGAACGAGUCCAUUCCUGUGUGUGUUUCGGGGGGAACUAUAUAGAAUUAGUUGUCGACUUGCCUAGGAACACUAGCUAAGGAGCCCCGGAAAUCAAGAAAUGAUCAAAGAGAAAAAAAGACGAAAGAGCCAAGACACGUGUGUCGCGGCAGGUCCGCUCAUGUUUUAGGGCGAAAAGAGAUCUUUCCUAUCUACUGACUAAGUACGCAAACAGUAGGGGAAAAGUCAUAUAAAUUCUAUAUGUUAUUAUAUGGGAAACCUGAUUCCACUAGGGUCGGGG
rnacentral:lncRNA from 1 species